UCAAGUAUUCUUCUCCCCUACAUAUACUCCGAAGGAAUCAGACAAAUGUUCUUCCCUCUAACUGUGCCAGCAUAUUAUAGAACUCCCCCUGAAAAUAAGGACAAAAAAAACUUCAUGCAUUAAUUAGCAGUAUUUGUUGGAACAAUUCUAUGUUCAUAACAAAAUCUCAUACAUGUUACUUGCAUUCUUAAGUAGGUCUUAAGACAAUCGGACGCAUGUGUAGGGACGCAUCAAAGCUAAAAUAAGAAAAUAGGUGAGGUCAAUCUCGAGACAUGAAAGACCUUGUCCCAAGAUAUGCUAAAAUCGAAACAAAAUUCUCAAAAAUGAAAUGUGGCAUGUCUCAAGACAUAAUGUGAAAACUUGAAAUUUUGAUUUGGAUUCGAGUCUUAACUCUUAAAUCAACCUCAUAUUUUGAUAAAUUAUGAUAUGAAAUAAAUGAAUUGAAUUGAUUAUUAUACAUUGACUGAUGUGUUCAAAAUGUAAGUUAGACUGAGUUGUUUCGGUAACGUAAUGUUACAUCAUAUAGAGGUGUUCAAAUUUCUUUUAAAACCGAAUUAACUGAUCAAACCAAUCUAAUUUGGUUAAUCGAUUGAUUAAUUGAUCUAAUUGAUCAAUUAAUAAUUUUUUGAAAGUUUAUUUAUUAAUUAAUUCGAUUCAGAAUCAUGUAAUUAAUCAAAUUAACUUAAAUAAAUAAUAUAUAUUAGCAGCCCACCCAAGCCACAGCCACUACCUAGCACAGGCCACACUAACCCAACCUAAAUAAACAUUUAAAAUUCAAUCCAAUCCAAUCCAAAUAAUUAAUUUAAUUAUAAAAUUAAUUUAUAUUAAAUAAAUAUUUUAAUAAAAAAUUGGAAUUCCUGAAAAACUAAAAAUAACUCAGUAACUCACCUAUUUCGAUAUUUUUAAUCUCCCAAAAUUCCUAAUCGCAAAUACCUUCCAUUUGCUAAAGAAGAGGUUCGUGUUUUUUUAAAGACAUUUACUAUCUAUUUACUAAAGAUGUCUAUCUUUGAUAAACCAUCACCAGAGAUCAUGGCCACCCUUAAAAUUGAUGUGAAAGGAGUUACCUUCUCACGUUUAGGGAAAAUUCUCCCAUGCUCUCCAAGCAUGCACACAUGUAUGUUAGGCUACUCUUGUUUACUGUCUUCCAACUAGAGAUAAUUUGGAGAGCAUCUCCCUCAACAAUAAUAGAAUGAUAUCCCAACACGUGCUUAUUCACUCACCCACCAUUCCUCCCUUUUCUUCUAUAAAUCAUGUUCUUCUUGAUUAUUCGUUCCACGCAUUGUUAUUAAAUCAAUGGCUGAGCAGUACAUAGUUGGAGUUGGAGCUGUUAUAGCCCCUCUUUUGGGGUUCCUUUUCUUGUACUGCAAUUCCCUUAUAAGAUUUAGGGGACUGAGGAAGCUAAAAAGGCAGCUUCAAUGGAGUUUCCAAAGGGGAACAGUGUAAAAAAACUGGAAAUAGUGAGGGUGUUGGCAUUACGGAUAUUAUCAUAGUCGGCGCCGGUGUUGCCGGUGCUGCUCUUGCUUAUUCCCUUGGAAAGCUCCCAUUUUUUUCUCCUUGUUCUUUAUUUUGUUCUACCAUGGUUUUAAUCAUCUUAUAUUCCUCUUCCAGCAUAUAACAAUUACUAGUUUCUUUUGGGUAAAAAUACCAUGGUCACCUCUUUCUAGGAGUAAAAUUGUAUAUAAAUUAGUCUCUUUAUAUUAGAUCAAGCAGCAAAUUGAUCAUUUCUAUUCAAAAUUUAAUCUAUUUUUACAGUUAAAAUUGGUGUGGCUGACAGAAUAACAAAAUAGUUACACAUAGCGUGUUAUAUCUUACGCUAACAUAUAGGGACCAAUUUUUAACAGUAGGAAUUGAUGAAUUUUUUAACAGAGGACCAAUUUGCUCUUUGAUCUAUUGUAUAGGGACUAAUUUAUUCAUUUUUUAGUAGAGGAGACAAAUGCAAUCCGACUCUUAGUAUAAGGCCCUCCAUGAUGCUUUUAUCAAUUUUUUUUGAGAAACAAUUACUAAUUAAGUUCGCAUUUUAUUAUUAUUAUUAUUUAUAGACAUUUUAUUAUUAUUGGUUGAAGUAUUAUACGGCAAGAUAAUAUUUCGAUAAAUUAAUUUAAUUUCACGUGAAUCUGUGUUUAUUUUUUUAUAAUAAAUUCAAAUUUUAGUUUGAUGGCAAAAUGAAAUAUUCAAUAUUUUCUUAAACUGGACUGGUUCUGAUUGAGAAUUGAUUAGGGUAUUGAUCCAAAAGAAAUAAAAAAUUACUAGACUCAUGAAUCAGUAUAAUCUAAUUAAAUCGGUGAUUGAAUUUGUUGAUCUGAAUUUUAUAAUUUUUAUUUUCUAAAAUUUUUAAUAAUCUAUUUAACUUAAAUAAGAUAAACAAAUGGAUCGAAUAUAGAUGAGGGGGUGCUUUUAUAUGGGUGACCUGGGCAGAAGCGCCCAUCCAAAUUCUGCACGAACUUAGAAUCGAGUAGACAAAGUUGAGUCCGUGACACAUUACGAGCUUAAGUAUAUUCUUCGACAUAAAUUUUUUUAGCUAACUGGAUAGUAAAAGCAGCAUUAAGUACUCCUAAAAAGAUUUUUUUGUCUUCGAUGAAUCAUCACCAAAUACCAUGAUCACCGAUAUGAAAAAUUCUCUCAUGUACUCAAAACUUACACUCUAUCUGUGCGAAUUGCAGAACUCCCCACAUUUAGUGAUUAUCUUUUUAGGGCCUUGUCCCUCUUUAGUCCCACAAAAUAAAUAAUUUAAUUUGUCUUUUUCCUUUUUUGGUUUCUUUUUGCAAUAAUAAUGCAUCCUUCUUCUUUUUUCCAUAACGUGUGGUGGAGGUACUUCAGUCAUCAAUCAUAUUUUUGCUGGAGAAAUGUCUUCUUCAUUUCAUUAAUCAUUUAGAGCAUAAGCAAUUACAACUUCAUGAAAAAAAAUGGGUAUUCUUCCAUCCACUUUGUUGCGGAAGCGACGAUAAUAUUAAUAACAAUAUUAUCAGAAAUAUUUAGAUAAUUAUUAUGCCAACAAUUAUACUAAGAAAAUUCUCAGUUAAAUUGGAGGGGUCACAAAUGGUCCUACUUAAAACCCAACAACUAGACAGAACUCACUUAGUUAUUUAUAGCAAUAAAAACUAAAUAAAUAUAACCAACAUAAAGCUAUUAAAUAUAAGCAAACAAAUAAGAAAUAAAACACCAGAAUUUAACGAGGUUCGGCCAAUUUAGCUUACGUCCUCGGACACUACCAAAUUAAUAUUUCCGCUAGAAAUAUUACAAAAGAGAAGAUCAACACCAAGUUACAAUUAGCUACUUGGAUUUUCAAAAUGAGAUUUUGGGAUGAUGAAACCUAAGGGGGAGGGGUUCUAUAUAUAACAAACCAAACCCCCUCCCUUUCUAUCUUUUCCUAAUGUGGGAUAUUGCCAAUAUUCAACAAAUCUCCACCUUGGCGAUAUUCCACAUCUUCGAACAUCUUCUCAUAACACAAACUUCAAUAGUGUCUUCAAAUUUGCGCCAACAACGCCAUAUCAAAUGUGUUGGACAUUGAUCAAGUCUAAACAAUGUUCAAACUUGGCCCUUGUAACCACCUUAGUCAGCAUAUCUGCAGGAUUCUCCGUAGUGUGAAUCUUUUGGAGAAGUAUCUCCUCUUCUUCGAGAAUUUCCCGCACAAAGUGAUAGCGAACGUCUAUGUGCUUCGUUCGUGCAUGAAAGACUUGAUUCUUUGCUAAAUGAAUAGCACUCUGACUGUCAGAAUAUACCUUAAGUUGUUUCUGACCAACUUCCAAGUCUUUAAGCAAUCCGUGAAGCCAAAUUGCUUACUUCACAGCCUCUGUAAUUGCCAUAUACUCUGCCUCUGUUGUAGAUAAAGCCACUGUGGACUGUAAGGUAGAUUUCCAACUAACUGGCGCUUUUGCUAAAGUAAACAAAUAGCCAGUUGUAGACCGUCGCUUAUCCAAAUCACCUGCAUAAUUAGAAUCACAAUAUCCAACUAUGCAUUGACCAAGUGAUUCAUCCCGCUCGAAUGCCAAUCCGACAUCUAUGGUAUUUUGGAGAUACCGCAGAAUCCAUUUCACAGCUUGCCAAUGACCCCUGCCCGGAUCAUGCAUGUACUUGCUAACAACACUAACAGCCUGUGAAAUAUCUGGUCUUGUACAUACCAUUGCAUACAUCAAGCUUCCAACUGCAUUUGCAUAUGGGACUUUUGCCAUGUACUCUCGUUCUUCCUUAGUCGUUGGAGAUAACUGGUUACUCAGUUUAAAAUGAGGAGCAAGUGGGGUACUUACAGGUUUUGUACCUUCAGACAUACCGAAACGUUGUAGUACCUUCUCCAAAUACUGUUUUUGUGAUAGCCAAAGUUUUCCCCUCUUUCUAUCCCGAGUUAUUUCCAUGCCGAGAAUCUUCUUGGCUUCCCCUAAAUCCUUUAUCUCAAACUCUUUACUCAACUGAGCCUUCAGUCUAUCAAUCUCCAUUUGGCUCUUUGCUGUAAUCAGCAUAUCAUCAACAUACAAGAGUAAGUAGAUGUAGGAACUAUCUUGAAGCUUGCGCAAAUACACACAAUUAUUGUAUUUGCUUCUUUUGUACUUCUGGUCCUUCAUGAACCUGUCAAAUCGUUUGCACCAUUGUCUCGGAGAUUGUUUCAAUCCGUACAACGAUUUGCUAAGUUUACAGACCCAAUUUUCUUUACCAGCAACCCUGUAUCCAUCUGGCUGAGUCAUAGAGAUUUCCUCCUUCAAAUCAUCGUGUAGAAACGCGGUCUUCACAUCAAGUUGAGCUAGCUCCAAAUUCAACUACGCUACCAAGGCCAACAAAAUUCUAAUGGAGGAAUGUUUAACAACUGGAGAAAAUACCUCAUUAUAGUCAAUUCCCUCCUUCUGAGCGUAGCCUUUAGCCACCAACCUUGCCUUGUAACGAACAUCUUCUUUGUCAGGAAAUCCUUCUUUCUUUGUAAAUACCCAUUUGCAACCAAUCGCCUUCUUCCCUUUUGGUAGUUGUGCCAGCUUCCACGUCUUGUUUUUCUCUAGAGAUUGCAUUUCCUCUUCCAUUGCACCUAACCAUCUAUUAUUCUCUAAACUUUGAAUGGCUUCGGUGUAAGUGGAUGGAAUAUUAUCAACAACUUGAAGUGCAUAAGCUACCAUGUCAAUGAAACGAGCAGGUUUCUGAAUUUCUCGUCUCUGCCUUCUGACUGCAAUUGGCUCUGAUUGUUGUUGAGGUUCUUGGGUAGAAACCUCUUCCUCAUCUGACUCUGCAUCUGCCAAUGAAGAAUCACUAGUGGUACCUUCUGCUGGAAUUACCACACUCCGCUCAAAAUUCACCUGCUGCGGAGUACACUCCACCUGCUGCGAAGUACUACUCACUCCUUCUGGAUUUACCUUAUUCAACAUGGCAGAUUCAUCAAAGGUAACAUCCCUACUGAUUAUCUUCUUCUUUGCCUCUAGACACCACAAACGAUAUCCCUUAACACCAGCAUUGAAGCCCAUGAAUAGAGCCUUCUUUGCUCUUGGAUCUAACUUUGAUUCUUUCACAUGAUAAUAUGCAAUAGAACCAAAAAUACGCAAGGUGUCAUAAUCAGUAGCAGGUUUUCCAUACCAUUCCUCCAAAGGAGUCUUGCCAUUUAUAGCAAAUGAUGGCAAAUGAUUGAUGAGAUGUUGAGCGUACGUCACAGCCUCAGCCCAAAACUUUCUAUCUAAUCCAGCAUUAGAUAACAUACAUCGAACUUUCUCCAUAAGCGUUCGAUUCAUACGCUCUGCCACCCCAUUCUGUUGCGGUGUUCCACCUACGGUGAAGUGCCUUACUAUGCCACAAUCUUGGCAUAUCUUCAGGAAUGGAUCGCUUUUAUAUUCUCCACCGUUGUCUGAUCGGAGAACCUUAAUCUUCCUUCUUGUCUGUUUUUCAACUUUAGUUUUCCACUUAAGGAAAACUUCAAGCACCUCAUCUUUGUUCUUCAUAGGAAACACCCAAACUCUUCUGGAAAAAUCAUCAAUAAAGGUGACAAAAUAACGUCUUCCUCCAAGUGAUGGAGUCUUGGACGGUCCCCAUACAUCAGAAUGCACAUAAUCUAGAAUACCUUUGGUAUUGUGAAUCCCAGUGCCAAAUUUCACCCUUCGUUGUUUUCCCAGAACACAAUGCUCGCAAAAUUCAAGUUUGCAAAUCUUUGUACCUUUCAAUAAUCCUUGCUUGGCUAGAGUUUGCAAGGAUUUUUCACCAGCAUGGCCCAAACGCAUAUGCCACAGCUGUGUUGCCUCAGCGUCCUUCUUGGUACUCGAAAUUGCUGCUGCUGUUGUCCCGACCACUGUACUACCUUGGUAGUAAUACAGAUUGUUCUUUCUUAUGCCUUUCAACAUCACCAAUGCUCCUGAAGUUGCUUUAAGAACUCCAUCUCGUAUUGUCACAACUAGGCCUUUAGAUUCUAAAGACCCCAAAGAGAUGAGAUUCUUCUUCAACUUUGGGAUAUAUCGUACAUCCCGUAAAAUUCUAGUAGAUCCAUCAUGAUUCCUCAGUUUAAUUGAAUCUAUCCCGACUGUUUUACAUGUGUUAUCAUUACCCAUGUAAACAACCCCUCCAUCUAGUUUUUGAAAUUCAAAGAACCAUUCCCAAAUGGGACACAUAUGAUAGGAACAACCAGAAUCCAUGAUCCACUCAUCUGCAUGUGGUGUUGAAGAUGACAUCCUAAGAGAAAAGUCUGACUCUGCUUCACUAUUGCAUUCUGCAACAUUUGCAUCUUACGGAGUCUUCCCUUUUUUCUUCAAUUUUGGACAAUCUUUCUUCCAAUGUCCUUUUUCUUUGCAAAAGGAACAUUCAUCUUUGGCAACAGCUCAACCUUUGGACUUUCUUCUCUUCCCCUUAGACUGACUUUGCUAACGACCUCUUGUUACCAAUGCUUCCACUGCUGCUUCACCUGAACCUUUCAACUUAUCCUUUCGGCGUAGUUCAUAGCUAUACAAUGCAGCAGUUACUUCAUUGAAAGUUAGUUCCGACUUUUCAUGAAGUAAAGUAGUUUCAAGGUACUCAAACUCCUCAGGAAGCGAUCCCAACAACAUUAACGCCAAGUCUUCGUCUUCAAAAGUCACAUCCAAAUUCAACAAAUCAGCCACCAGCUGAUUAAAAUUGGUAAUGUGCUCGUUCAUCGUGGUACCAGGAACAUAACUGAAACGAAACAGUCUUUUCUUCAUAUGCAACUUAUUUUGACUGUUCUUCUUCAGGAAUUUCUCCUCCAAUGCUUUCCACAAUUUACUUGCAGAAGUCUCUUUACUGAAUGUAUACUUCUGCUCUCUGGAAAGACAUGAUCGAAUUGUACCACAUGCCAAUCGGUUGAUGGUCUUCCAUUCUUUAUCAUCAACCCCUUCUGAUUUUUCUUCUUCAAUGGCAAUAUCUAGACCUUGUUGAAAGAGGCCAUCUAGAAGCUCACUUUGCCACAUGCCGAAAUGACCUGUUCCAUCAAAAAUUUCCACUGCAAAUCUCGUAUUUGCAGUUCCAACCCUCGACAAAAUGUACGAGGUGGAAGUUGUUGAUGUUGAUGAUUUUUCUUCUGUCAUUUUUGCUAUAGCUUCUAUUUAAUAGCCACCAAAUGCGGAAUACCCACAAGCUUUAGGAAAUGUUUCUGAUGUGUAAGAUCAGACUAAGCUGCAAACACAUAGCAUACUACAAAACCUUGGCUCGGAUAUCAAUUGUUGCGGAAGCGACGAUAAUAUUAAUAACAAUAUUAUCAGAAAUAUUUAGAUAAUUAUUAUGCCAACAAUUAUACUAAGAAAAUUCCCAGUUAAAUUGGAGGGGUCACGAAUGGUCCCACUUAAAACCCAACAACUAGACAGAACUCACUUAGUUAUUUAUAGCAAUAAUAACUAAAUAAAUAUAACCAACAUAAAGCUAUUAAAUAUAAGCAAACAAAUAAGAAAUAAAACACCAGAAUUUAACGAGGUUCGGCCAAUUUAGCUUACGUCCUCGGACACUACCAAAUUAAUAUUUUCACUAGAAGUAUUACAAAAGAGAAUAUCAACACCAAGUUACAAUUAGCUACUUGGAUUUUCAAAAUGAGAUUUUGGGAUGAUGAAACCUAAGGGGGAGGGGUUCUAUAUAUAACAAACCAAACCCCCUCCCUUUCUAUCUUUUCCUAAUGUGGGAUAUUGCCAAUAUUCAACACACUUAACAUCAUCACUAUAUUGCAAAAAUUCCUUAGCUUUCAUACUUGCCAAUGCUUCUGUAUUUUUCCGAAAUUAAAUUGUAAUGCACCAAAAGAAAUCGUCUAUCUCUACUUUUAGUUAAAUUUAAAUGAAAUACGAAAGGACACAAAAAAUAAUUGCCUACAUAAAUAUAUUACUUUUGUAGAGGUUAUAUUUAUGAUCUAUAUAGUAUAAUGUUGGGGUAAACUUGAGUUAAGCAACGAAUAAGAAUAAAUAGAGAAAAAUCGGAUACAAAUAUUUACUUGAAAAAACUCAUUUUAAGAGGAUAAAAAAUCACGGGUAAAAAAAACUUCACUAGAAUGGCAAAUAAUUGAAGAGGAGUACAAGAUAGAGAAACAAAAAACAAACCCAAACUCAAAAAUACAAAGUUCUUCCAAAAUUUCCAAAAAACUCUCUCUUAAUUAUGUUGUUGAAUUGAUCUCUCUAGUGUUGCUAAAAGCCCUAUUUAUAGGCUAAAAUCUAUGUGAAAAUAUGACUAAAACAUCUUUAGAAUAAUUAGAGUUAGACUAGAAAAAGAUAACAGAGUUUAAUUAGGAGAUAAAAUUCGGUUUAGUAGAGAACACGUCGUGACAUGGCGUACAUUGCCUUGUCGAGACAUCAUUUUUCGCAUCGUCAAGACAUUGUCUCUUUCUAGUCCCGACGUCAACCUUAUUUCAUCUAAAAUGCGAGUCACGCUCUACAUAUAAUAAUACUAAUAUCAUAUUUAAGAGUUUAUGAGGUAUAGAUGAGAUGGCCCAAAUGAGAUUUGCAAAUCACAAUAAUUUAAAAUGUUUGAUAUUGAAACAUAUUGUAAACAUAAUUAAAUACUAUACACAUAUUGAAAUAUCUUAUUUGUCAAUUGUGGUGAUUAUUAUAUGCCAUUGCACGCUUUUCUUCUAUAAAUGAUGUUCUUCUUGAUUAUUCGUUCCAUACAUUGUUCUUAAAUCAAUGGCUGAGCAGUACAUGGUUGGACUACUUGGAGGUGUUAUAGCCUCUCUUUUGGGGUUUGUUUUCUUGUACUGCAAUUUCCUAAUCAGAUUUAGGGGACUGAGGAAGCUAAACAGAGCAGCUUCGAUGGAGUUUCCAAAGAAAAACAGUGUAAACAAAACUGGAAAGAGUGAGGGUGUUGGCACUACGGAUAUUAUCAUAGUCGGCGCCGGUGUUGCCGGUGCUGCUCUUGCCUAUUCUCUUGGAAAGGUCUCAUAAUUUAUCCUUUUUUCUUUAUUUUGUUCUACCAUUGCUUAAUCAUCUUAUUUUCCUCUUCUAGCAUAUAACAAUUACUAAUUUUUUUAGUAAAAGUAUUAUAGAGGUUCCUAGUAAAGUUUCUGUAUUAAGAGUUACAUUGCAUUUUGUCCCUUUUACCUAAAAAAUAGCCAAAUAAGUUCUUGUAGGUUAGAUUAAAUAACAAACUAGUAUUUUCUGUUAAAAAUUUCAUCCAAUUCUACUAUUAAAAAUUGGCGUGGUUGAUGGUAUAACCAGACAGUUACACACAGUGUAUCAUGUGUACCUCAUGCAAAUGUAUAGGAACCAAUUUUAAAUAGUAGAAAUGGAUAGAAUUUUUAACAAAGAACUAGAUUGCUCUUUAAUCUAACGGGACUAAUUUAUUAUUUUUUUAAAUUGAGAGACAAAAUACAAUCCGAUUCUUAGUACAAAAACCUCCAUGAUACUCUUACCAAUUUUUUUGAAAGGAACAAUUACUAAUUAAGUUCGUAUUUUAUUAUUAUUGGUUGAAGUGUUAUAUGGGAAGAUAAUAUUUCGAUAACUUAAUUUAAGUUCACGUGGAUCUGUGUCGAUUUUUUAUAAUAAAUUCAAAUUUUAAUUUGAUGGUAAAAUGAAAUAAUCAAUGUUGUUUGAAAUUGGAUCGGUUCAAAUCAGGAAUUGAUUUAAAGUACUUGUUUUAAUAAUUUAUUUGAUUUAAAUAAGAUGAACGGAUCGAACUGAAAAUCAAUGAUUUAAUUAGUUCAACUACUGAUUCUAUUUAAAAAUAAUAACUAAAAAUAUAUAUUUGACUUUUUUUCUAAUUGAUAACGGUGCAAUAUCAAGUAGUAGUUAAAAAAUAUAAAAUCUAUUUUGACAGUCCAAUUUGAUUUUAUUUAAUAUAAAUGCAUGUAAUUUAAAAUAUAAAAUUGUAAAAUGUAAUUUAAGCGCAUUUGGAUAUUUGAUAAUAUUUACUUGUAGAAAUUUUUUUUGAAAGGUUUAUUAUUACAAAUAGAGUAAAAUGUAAAAGUAUAAUAUAUGCUAGCUCAAGUAAUUAUAGUGUAGAAUUAAACUUGUAAAUAGACAAAAAGAAAACAAUUAGAAAGAAUCUAAAUAAAAAACAUACAUGGUAUACACACAUGAUAGAAUUAGAGAUUUACAUUUCGCAAUUGCGCGUGAAAGAACUCAAACUCGGGUGCUUAAGAACCCAUAGUCUUUGCAUUAAGCAACAAUGCCAAGAUCACAAUGGCAUUCAAAUUUGGAUUUCACUGUGAUACCAUAUGUAACAAUUCUUAAUAACUUACAUUUUACAGGAUGGACAUCGAGUGCGAGUGAUAGAAAGGGACUUAAAUGCGCCUAAUAGAAUAGCCGGUGAAAGUCUAACACCAGGGGCUACUUAAAGUUAAUUGAAUUACGCCUUGAGGGUAAACAAGAAAAAUCAUCUAUUUAAAUAGUAGAUGUAAUAUAAUGUUAUAACGUUAUUUCUUUAUAUAAUUAUUUAUUUUACUUUGAGUGUUGGUUCUAUAGAUUGUGUAGAUGAGAUAGAUGCGCAACGGCUUUUAGGUUAUACUCUAUACAAGGAUGGAAAGGAGGCUCGCGUAUCUUUUCCUUUGGAAAAGUUUCAAUCUCAUGUUGCAGGAAGAACAUUUCAUAAUGGUCGUUUCAUUCAAAGGUUGAGGAAAAAAGUUGCCUCUCUUCACAAGUACUUUCUCUCCCUCCUCUCAAUCAUUCUUCAAUAUCAAAAUAAGAUGCCAGAACAUUUUAUCUCAAAAGGAUUAAGUGAUUUGUAGUUUGUUUUAACUCAUUGCUCCUGUUUAGACCUGUCAAUUGAGCUACUCAAAUCGAUUUUGGGUCAAGUCAAUCUAGAUCGAGUCAUUCUAGUUCUAAAUUUUUUUUGUGUAAAUUCGGUUUUAGUGAGCUUAGAUUCAAGUCAUUUCAGGUUUGGGUUAAAUUUUGGUUUGGACCGUUACAGGUUUGGAUUCGAGUCCUUUUGGGUUUAGGUCAAUAGGGCUUGAAGCUCAAGUUUUUAAAGUCAACUCAUGAUAGGUUCAUGUCAUUUUAAGUUAUAGUCACCUCGAUUUUUUAUAUUUUCAAGUUACUUAUUUGGAUCAUUUCGGGUUUGAGUGGUCAAUUUAUGUUAGGGUAAAACGAGGUUUGGUUUAGAGGGAUUCAUGUUGUUGACCAUUUAUAGUCAAAUCAAGCCAAGUUUAGGUUUGAAUUGAUCAAGUUAUAUUUUAGGCUUAAGUUACACUGACAAGUUCACUUCUACUUGUAUUAACUUGUUACAACAAUUUAUUAGAAAGAGUACAUUUGAAAUUAUACUUUUUCUUUACAAGAUCCAAUUUGAUGCUUUGAUGUUAUGAUAAUGUAGCGUAAGUUUAGAACAAGGGACAGUAACAUCUUUGAUUGAAGAAAAUGGUAUUGUCAAAGGAGUGCACUACAAAAAUGGGAAUGGUAAACUAUUGACAACUUACGCUCCUCUCACCAUUGUAUGUGAUGGUUGUUUCUCAAAUUUGAGACGCUCUCUUUGCUAUUCUAAGGUGAAAAUGCUUAGAAAUUCUUGUUAAAUUUGUUCAAUUAUGGUUUUUAUCUCUCUAUUAUGCUAAAAUUAUAUAUUUAUCAUUCUACUUUAUUUUGAUUUAAUUUAAAUCUAUUUAUUUUUAUAAUGUUAUUGUAUGUCCAAAUUGAUAAUAUUAUUAGUUGCUUUUUAACAAAUGAUACCUACUAAUAACAUUGAGAGAUCAUUUUUUUUCCAAAUUAAAGCAAAAAGAUUAAAUUCUGAUUUUAGGAUAAUAGAGGGACUAAUCCUAAAUUCUACGCUUUGAGAAAAUAAAUUAAGGUCUAUAGUUUUUUUUCUGCAGGUUGAUAUACCCUCUUAUUUUGUUGGUCUUACACUGACAAACUGUAACCUUCCAAAAGAAAAUUAUGGAGCUAUUAUAUUAGCACACCCUUCAGCAAUCGUAUUUUACCAAAUUAGCAGCACUGAAGUUCGUUGCAUGGUGAAUGUUCCUAGUGAAAACGUACCUUCAGUUUCCAAUGGUGAAAUGGCAUGUUACUUGAAAACUCAGGUGGCUCCCAAGGUAUAUUUAGAUCUUUCUUUUAUUCAUUCAUUAGGGGAAUUUGGCUUAAUUUAUGGACGAACUGUAUGGCUUAUAAUACAUUUCAGGUUGUUGGUGCAAGAGGCAGCAACAAAAGAGAGAACAAGAGCACAGAACAUGAAGCAAGGUGCAAGAAGCAUUUUUACUUGCUCACAAAUGUGCAGCAAGGGAGCUAAUGGCUGAUAGCUCAUUCAGCUCAUUCAUUCAACUAGAAAAAACAUACAUUUAUAGUCAAAUACAUCACCAAAUAGUCAACUAACCCCACUAAUCAGCAUUGAGACUAUUAAAACAUUGCUUGUACACAUAAACAAGCCACCUAAACUAGUCAUUCAACACCUAAUGCAUCAAGUUGUCAUCAACUUGUCCAUUUUAAACUAGAUUAAUUAGAAUGAAACUAAAGAGAAACCUUGCUGUUACAGCAAGCAUAUGUGCUGCAGCAUGUCAUCAAGCUGCAUGCACUUCAACCACAAAAUGUAACAGCAGCAUGGUUGGCCAAUUUCCAAUACUCCUCCUUGGACUCCAUGCUGCAAAUACCAGUCAUUCAUCAAGUUUUUUGAACUUGGCAGCUCUUAGAUGCUUUGAUUCAAGCUGACCAAUUCAUUUUCUUCUUGCACAAACAGUUCGUGAGUAUAGUUGCUUGCCUUCAUUCUGCCAUUUUGGCUUGCAAUUCGACAGGCUCACACUUUGCUUACUGUCUUCAAGAGGCUUGCAACUAUACAACACGCAUUGAGCUUCCACAUGUUGCUGAGCUCACACCUUUGACAGACUCACAUCUUUGCAUAUUGUCUUCAACAGGUGUCUUCAUCAGGCUCGCACUUUGCUAAGCUUGCAGCUUUGACAUCUUGCUAAGCUUGCACAUUUGGAAAGCUCACACCUUUCCUUUAAACUCCUCCUUCAGCUUAUUCAAGCUAGUUUGGGGAUCUUAUAAGUUUGAGCCGAUAUUAUCUUCUCUACAAGCAGUCCUUAAUGACUUGCUUGUGCUUUGACAGCUUCUUUCUUUUCAACAAGCAGGGGAAGCAAAAUCAAUGGUCCCGUAAGACAUAGGCUCAUGAUACCAAUUGUUGGUGCAAGAGGCAGCAACAAAAGAGAGAACAAGAGCACAGAACAUGAAGCAAGGUGUAAGAAGCAUUUUUACUUGCUCACAAAUGUGCAGCAAGGGAGCUAAUGGCUGAUAGCUCAUUCAGCUCAUUCAUUCAACUAGAAAAAACAUACAUUUAUAGUCAAAUACAUCACCAAAUAGUCAACUAACCCCACUAAUCAGCAUUGAGACUAUUAAAACAUUGCUUGUACACAUAAACAAGCCACCUAAACUAGUCAUUCAACACCUAAUGCAUCAAGUUGUCAUCAACUUGUCCAUUUUAAACUAGAUUAAUUAGAAUGAAACUAAAGAGAAACCUUGCUGUUACAGCAAGCAUAUGUGCUGCAGCAUGUCAUCAAGCUGCAUGCACUUCAACCACAAAAUGUAACAGCAGCAUGGUUGGCCAAUUUCCAAUACAGGUUCUUCCUGAAUUGUACGAUUCCUUUAUAUCUGCAAUACAGAAGAAGGGUAACAUAAGAAUAGCGCCGAAUAAAAUCAUGGCUGCUGCUCCACACCUGACUCCUGGUGCGCUUUUGAUUGGAGAUGCACUCAACAUGCGGCACGCUAUAACCGGAGGGGGAAUGACUGUUGCUCUGUCUGAUGUCGUAAUACUUAGGGAUCUUCUAAGACCCUUGCAUGAUCUAUCCGAUGCAUCCACCAUUUCAAAAUAUCUCGAAUCUUUUUAUACCCUGAGGAAGGUAUUGUAGUUUCAUGUUUUAUAUGCAUUUUGAAAGUGAAUGGCAAUGAUGAAAACGGUAUAAUUUUGCCCUUUAACUACAUGCAGCCAAUGUCAUCUACACUAAAUAUACUGGCUAAUGUCCUACAGAAGGUAUUCAGUGCCUCGUCCAAUCCAGCAAUGAAGAAUCUGCAGCACACCUUUUUGGGGUAUUUGAGACUUGGAGGGAUGUUUUCAUAUGGAGCAUCCGCUAUGCUCUGUGGUUUAUGCCCUUCUUCAUUAAGCUUAGCAUUUCAUUUCUUUUCCAUUGCAAUAUAUGGCGUUGGCCGAUUGUUACUUCCAUUUCCUUCUCCCAGGCGUUUGUGGGAUGGGGCUAAAUUCCUUUGGGUCAGUAUCUUUACCAAACAUUUAUAUAAUAACAUGAUAUAAAUAUAUAAGAUCUUAAAUAUGAUUAUUAUAUAGAAUCAUAUUAAUAAAAAUAUUUUCAUGUUUUUCAGAUGGCAUCAAGUGUUCUUCUCCCCUACAUAUACUCUGAAGGAACCAGACAAAUGUUCUUCCCUCUAACUGUGCCAGCAUAUUAUAGAACUCCCCCUGAAAAUAAGGACAAAAAAAACUUCAUGCAAUAAUUAGCAGCAUUUGUUGGAACAAUUCUAUGUUCAUAACACAAUCUCAUACAUCUGUUACUUGCAUUCUUAAGUAGGUCUUAAGACAAUUGGACGCAUGUGUAGAGACAAUGACGCAUCAAAGCUAAAAUAAGAAAAUAGAUAAGGUAAGUCUCGAGAGACAUUAAUUAUUAAUUGUUGUAUAUUGAUUUAAAUGUUUAUGGUAAGUAAAUAAGGUAAGUGUUAGCAUUUUUUAUAUUGAAUUGAAUGUAUGUGAAAUUGCGAUUUAUGUGAUAAUUGAGUAUUGGAUAAUUAUGGCAUUAGAAAAGUGAACUAAAACUCUGUUAACUGUAUCGGGCUGAGUUGGAUAUAGAUGGCAUGCCAUAGGAUUAGAAGAGUUUAGGGAUACUUCGACUUAGAGUCGAUGAGACACUGGGUGUCAAAUUAUUACUUCGGAUAAAUUCGAUGAAAUACUGGGUACCAAUUUACUUCUGCAUGGCCGAUGAGACAUUGUGUGUCAACUUAUUGCUUCGAAUUAUCCGAUGAGGCACUGGGUGCCAAACUGGUGUGUUUUGGUUGGAUUCGUGUAUCCGUCCGAGUCCGUGUCAUGUUAAUAGGGGUUACUGAAUAAAAUAGUGUUAUGAUUGAUAUUGAGUGGUGAUUUGAAAUAUGGUUAGAGACACAUGAUUUGUGUAUUUAUGAAUUGAAUAUGAAUGAACAAUAUUGUUGUUCAAAUGAUUUGUGUUCAUAUUGUGAAAAGCAAUCUGGGAUAGCAAAUGAUAAAAUUUGAAUGUGUUAUAAAUAUCUUAUUUAUGAAUUGAAUAAUUGUAUGGCUAUAGUUAUUGUAUGUUAUAUUAUUUUACUUUUAAGCAUUUGGAUUAUAAAAAUACCACUGAAUUUAUACUCAGCAUACGGUUUAUUUUCCGUGCGCAGGUUAGGUUAAAGUCAGAUUGUCGAUUCAGCAUCCAUCAACGAUCCCGAGCUUAAAACGUGGUGAUGUAUAUUUCUUUUUGUGUCGGCAUGUACCUAGGAUGUCUUAUGCUUGUCAUUUUGGGAAGUGAAUGUAAAUGAUGUUAUAAGAUGAUAUUGGUUACUUAUAUACAUAAUUAUACGUGUUAAGUUGAGGUUUAAUGUGGAAUGUUUAAGUUGAUGCAUAAGUGAAUGUGAUAUAGGCAAAUUUGGGUUGAAAUUGGUAUGAAUUUAGAAUUGGAUUAAUUGGUGUUUUAUUUGAUUGUUUUGAUAAUAUAUGUGAAGUACCUAUGAUGGUACAUUGGUUAGGAAACUAGGAUGAUUGUUUUGACAUGUUUUAAAGUGAUUGAACCAUUGGUUUUUUACUUGCUUGGUGUUCAAGGUUGCAGGGAAGGGUAAACUUGAUGUUUAAGGUUCAUUUUGUGUCCACACUGCCAGACACACGGGUGUGUGGCUGGACCGUGUGAGACGCACGGCUAACACAUAGGCGUGUGUCCCCUGUUUCUUUGAAAAUUUUUUAUGUUUUCGAAAAAAAUUCCUGGAGUACUAUUUGAUUUAGUCCCGAUUUGUUUCUAACACAUAUUUUAAGCCUCGAGGGCUCAUAAAAAGAACAAUGUGAUUAAAUUAUAUGUUGUGUAUGCUAGAUGAUUAUAUAAUGUUCAUAUUUGAUCUGAAAAGUCCGAUAUGCUCCGUAACCCUGUUUCGGUGACGGAUAAGAGUUAGGGAGUGUUACACCCUCUUUCCAUUCUUCCACUUUUCCACUCAACUAAGCACACCUUAAGGGUGUAUAUGGGUGAGAGAUUUGUAGGAGGGCUUCAUUUAAAUUAAGGUUUCAAAAGUCUAAAAAUGAAUUUACCUUUUUCGGGUAAAUAUAUUGAAGAAUUUAAAAUUUUGUGAGUAAUUUCAAGAAUGAAUUUUAAUAGCUCAAAUUCCUUUUUUAAUUCCGCUUAAAUAGGUGGUUUUUCAAAAUCUCUAACAAUUUUAAUUGAUUUAAUACACAUGGUUCGGCUAUAAAAUAAAAACUUAAACCUCAAAAUUUAUUUUAUUUAAUUAUAAUAUAUUUUUUAAAAUUUUAUUGUAUUAAAGUUAUUUAUAAAUUUUUACAAAUAUAAUGAUUUUCAUAUUGAAUAUUGUUUAUAUUAUUUAUAUUUAAUAUAAUUAUUCUUUUUAUAAUUAUUUUCUAAUUUGUAAAAUUCCAUUAACCUAAAUUUUUUUGUAAACCAAUUAUUUACCCCAACAAAAUAACCACAAAUACUAGCAUUUUAAAUAAUCUAAAAAAAUUCUAAUUAUAGGUCUCGAUCAUAUAUGCUCUUUUUGACACAAUGCCUAGAACUACCCAUAGUCCCUCCCCAGCUCAUAGAUAAAAGGAUAAUACGUUUCAGCAGACUCGAAAUCACGUCUUUCUCCUCAUGCCAAUUGAAUUAAGGUUCAAUCGACAAUUCGAUACAAAUUUAAAUAUAUAUAUUUUUUAUAUUUAUGUCAUAUGUUUGCUAUUUUUAUUGUGAAAUUAUUUUAAUUCUGGUUAAAAUUAUUUCGCUUUAAGAUAAUUUAUAUGUUGUAAUUAUAUUUAAUAAAUAUUAUUUAUAAAUUACAAGAAAUAAAAAUAUAUUAUUAAAUGCAAGUAGUUUGAAUUGCGCGGAGUGCGGCUACUUAUAUUCAACCAUCUAUCACAUCUGUUUGAAAUAAAAGAAAAUAAAAUUGUUUUUUUUGAAAAAUUAAAUUGAGUUGUCCUUUUCUCUUUGAUUUUCUCUUUGUCUUUUAGCAAUAAUAGCUUUUCAAGGCUUAAUUUAAUAAGACGAACCCGGGUUGGUUUAGUUUUUUAAAUUACCUUUUCAUCGGUUUGAAUAUUUAAUAGGCUUAAUUUAGUUGGCAAGUUCUUAAGCUUGGUGGUAAUGGGUUUGAAUGAAGGAAUUCUAGUUGUCAAUCUUUGCUUUCACUUUCUCCUAAAUCAUCUACUUGCUAGAUGGUUUUGGUGCAGAACAAAUGAAAUUCAUAUUCGUUUAUGUGAAUAAAAUAAUCGUUUAUUUUUUCAAAAUGCGUAAAUAUUUUGAUUUUCAUAAAAUAUAACUUUAUGAAAAAAAAAAAACUCAACUAUUACAUGUGAAAUUUAAAUUAAAUUAGGAAGGACCAACAAUUGAUUGCUCAUAUAAAUAUCUUAUUUUUUCAGAUUUUUUUUUUCCGAUUCGGAUUCAUCUCUCGUGAUAAAAGUUGAAGUAAAAUUAUUAGUUAUUAAGGUGGAGGCUCGUUCUCACCUGUGCAAAGGGAUAAGCCACUGACAUGACAGCAUCCACAACAGAUGACAAAUAAAAAAUUUAAAGGCGUGAAGUACAAAAACAGGCGCUGCUUCUUCACUCACCAUUCAUUGGACCCCUUUCUUAAAUAAAUGCUGUUCUGCUUGAUUAUCCUUUCCAUACAUUGUUCUUAAAUCAAUGGCUGAGCAGUAUAUAGUUGGAGUUGCAGGUGUUAUAGCCUUUCUUUUGGGGUUUGUUUUCUUAGUGAGAUCUUGGGGGCUGAGCAAGCUGAAAAGAGCAGCUUCAAUGGAAUUCCCAAAGGAAAACUGUGUAAACAAAAAUGGAAAUGGUGAGGGUGAGGGUGAGGCAGUUGGCACUACGGAAAUUAUCAUAGUCGGUGCUGGUGUUGCCGGUGCUGCUCUUGCCUAUUCUCUUGGAAAGGUCCCAAUUUUUACGCUCCUUUAUUUUAACUUUAUAGUAUCAAGUUCGGAGUUGGGAUAAUAAUAGUAACCAACUUUAAAGGUAGGUUUGGAUGAGCGAUUGAGUGCAGUGCGGUGUGUUUAGUUUAUUUUUUGUCUCACGCUACAGUGUCUAAUAUUACCACCACCGCUGUUUUUACACUAACCGCAGGUAAAUGCACCGCCCAUCCAAACUCAUCCUAAAAAGAUAAUUUUCAGUGGCCAAGCCACUAAGAGAUUCGGGGAGUCAAGGCCAAAGGUCUAAAAUUUUUCAAUUUCUUUUUUAUAUACAUGUAAUGUAAUCACCCUCCUAAAUAUAAAAAUAGAUUUUUCUAAUAUUUUUAUAGUAUUAUAAAUAAUAUUAAAAUAUUUUUUAUUAUGAAAAUUGUUAAAAUAAGAUUUCGCAACAAAGUAGAGGAUAAGUUUCUUAUAAAUAAUCUUGUUCUUUAUUUUAAGAGAUGUUGCCGAAACUUUUAAUCUAAACUCUAUAUUUAAUGAUUUUAUUUUUUUUGAAAGAACAUCGUGCACUAAUCAUAUGCUAUUUCUUCUUGAUUGUUCUUUUUAAAUAUGUAUUUAUAUAAUCUUUUUUAAUUUAUAUAUAUUUAGAAAUAUAAUAUGGAACAAAAAUUUUAUAUAAUUCUUUGUAGUGUAAUUAACAUAAAUAAUAUUUGUUAUAAUAUUUUUUUCGUAGCACGUCUAAUUUUAGCUUGGCUCUUUCAAGAUUAAUAUCCUGAUUCUGUCACUGUUCAUUAUUUUAAAAUAAAUAUAAAAGAUACUUUAAUAUAUGUCAAACAAUAAAAUAAAGAAUUGAAAUUCCAUCUUAGGGUCUGUUUGAUUGACGUAAUUGAUUUUUCGGAAAAUCAUUUCUAACUUUUCCAGCGUUUGAUUGGCGGAAAACAUUUUCCAUUUGGAAAAUGAACUCCAAAAAAAGGGAAAAUGGGUUACAUUUUAGGGAAAAUGUCUUACCCUUUCAAUUUCCGUAAGACAUUUUCCGUGCUCUCCUCUCUAUCGCCUCCUUCAUUCCUUCCUUCAUUUUCGGUAGAAAAUUGCUUCUGUUUAUCGAUUUUUCAGUAACUUCUUUUUUUUAAUUAUUCAAUACUUGUUUUUUUAACACAAUUACAAAUAAUUUAUUUGAUAUUAGUUUUUUUCAAUCUAUAACGAUUAAUAUUGUAGCUUAAUAAUUGAGUAUUAUUAUAAAUAAAUCAUUGCAAUAUAUGUAAAAACAAUUUAAAAUAUAAAAAUUUAUUAAUACAUAUUAAUAUAUGCAAAAACAACUUUUCCGGAAAAUAUUUUCAGAAAAUCUGCCAAAUAGCAAAAAAUAUUUUACACAGAUUCAAUCAAACACCAGAAAAUAUUUUCCAGUAAAUCAUUUUACAGAAAAGUAAAACAUUUUCCAGAAAUCAUUUUACGGAAAAUAUUUUACUGGCAAUCAAACAGACCUUAAUUAUAUUUAAUGUAGAAAUACAUAUAAAUAUUUACUAAAUAGAGAUUUUUAAAAAUAUUGUAGAGGUGGAGAAUGCUCCAUUUAGCGUCAAUUAACAUCAGUUUCUGUCUUCAAGUUUUCAUAAGAUCCUUGAAAAAUGGAUUUAACUAUGAUGUUAUACCUAAUAAUUUUUUUAUAAUUAUAUAUUGCAGGAUGGAUGUCAAGUGCAAGUGAUAGAAAGAGACUUAAAUGCACUUAAUAGAUUUGCUGGCGAAUUAUUAAUGCCAGGAGGCUACCUCAAGUUAAUUGAAUUAGGCCUCGUAGGUAAAUAAGAAAAUUAAUGGAAUAUAAUGUUACAAUGAUAUUUCUUUGUAUAUUUUUAUUUAUUUAUUUUACAUUAAAUGUUGGCAAUACAGAUUGUGUAGAUGAGAUUGAUGCUCAACAAAUUUUAGGUUAUACUCUAAACAAGGAUGGAAAGGAGGCUCUCAUAUCUUUUUCAUUGGAAAAGUUUCAGUCUCAUGUUGUAGGAAGAACCUUCCAUAAUGGUCGUUUCGUUCAAAGACUACGAAAGAAAGCCGCAUCUCUUCACAAGUACUUUCUCUCCUUCCUCCCAAUCAUUCUUUAAUUUCAAUAUAAUAUUUUAGAACAUUUAUCUUAAUGGAUUAAAUGACUUGUAGUUGUUUUGAUCCAUUACUUCUAUUUAGACCUAUCAAUUGAGCUCAUUCAGUUGAUUUUGGUUUGAUCAAUCUAGAUAAAUCACUCAAGUUUUUAAACUAACACAUCAUUUUGGUUUUUAUCACUUUAGGCUAAGGAUUAUUUUGGGUUCAGAUCAUUUCAUGUGUAGAUUUGAGUCAUUUUGGGUUCAAACAUUAGAGCUCCAGGUUAUAAUUUUUUGAGUCUGGUCAUUACAAUUUAAUAUCGUUUUGGUUCUAGUCACUUCGAGUUUGGGUCCUUUCAAGUUAAUUUUUGAAUCAUUUUGGGUUUGAGUUGUUUUAAGUUCAAGCUAGUUUGGGUUAGGGUAAAUUUUUGUUAAAGUUGGAGGGACUCAAAUUGUGGACCCUUUAUAGUCAAAUCAAAUUGGAUCAAAUUUAAGUUCCAAUUGGUCGAGUCAAAUUUUUAAAUUCAAGUCAAAAUUGACAUGUUUGGUUCUUUUACUAUACUUUGUUUCAACUUGUUUUAAUCAGAAAUUAUGCCUCUCUUUACAAGCUCCAAAUUCAUGUUUUGAUGAUAUGAUAACGCAGUGUAAGUUUAGAACAAGGGACAGUAACAUCUCUACUUGAAGAAAAUGGUAUUGUCAAAGGAGUGCACUAUAAAGAUAAGAGUGGUCAAUUGCUAACAGCUUAUGCUCCUCUCACCAUCGUCUGUGAUGGUUGUUUCUCGAAUUUGAGACGCUCUCUCUGCCAUUCUAAGGUGAAAAAAAUGCUUACAUAUAUACUCUUGUUAAAUUGGUUUAAUUCUUAUUUUAGUCACUCUAUAACGUUAAAAAUUUGAGAUUUAGUCCUAUUUUAUUGUGCCAUAAUUUGAUUCCAUUAUUUUUGUGAUGAUAUUAGUAUGUCAAAAUAGAUCAGUUGCUUUUAUUAAAGAAUUGACUCAUUUUUUGGUCAUAUAGUCCAGGUCACAUUGAAAUCAAGUCAAUUAGGUUGAACCAAUAAUGAAAUUACAUGUUACUCGAAUGUUAGUUAGUUUUAAUAGAAAUCUAUGUCAUUAUUUCAAUGUAACAAUUAACGAUGUCAUCAAUUUGGGCCUACAAUAAAAGUAGAGAGACUAAAUUUUGCCAAAUUGAAAUAGAGGAAUAAAAUUCCAAUUUCAGCUUGGUAGAGGGAUUAAAACCAUAAUUAGACUUAAAUAUGCUUUGAGAAAAUAUACAUAUAAAGGUCUCGAUUGUUUGUGCAGGUGGAUAUCCCCUCUUAUUUUGUUGGUUUUAUCUUGACGAACUGUAAACUUCCAAAAGAAAAAUAUGGAGCUCUUAUAUUAGCAGAUCCUUCACCUAUCCUAUUUUAUCCCAUUAGUAGCACUGAAAUUCGUUGCUUGGUGGAUGUUCCUAGUCAAAAUCUACCCUCUGUUUCCAAUGGUGAAAUGGCUCAUUACUUGAAAACUUUGGUGGCUCCCAAGGUAUAUUUAUAUCUUUCUUUAAUCGACUCAUUAAUGGAAUUUGGUUGAACUUAUGGACUAACUAUAUGAUCUAUGAUACAUUUCAGGUUCUUCCUGAAUUAUACAAUUCCUUUAUAUCUGCAGUAGAGAAGAAGGGCAACAUAAGAAUAAUGCCGAACAAAAUCAUGGCUGGUGCUCCACACCUCACUCCUGGUGCUUUUUUGAUUGGCGAUGCAUUCAAUAUGCGGCAUGCUAUAACUGCAGGGGGAAUGACUGUUGCUUUAUCUGAUGUUGUGAUACUUAGGGAUCUUCUAAGACCCUUGCAUGAUCUAUCUGAUGCAUCCGCCAUUUGCAAAUAUCUUGAAUCCUUUUAUACUCUGAGGAAGGUAUUGUAAUUCAUGUCCUAUAUGAAUUUUUUAAAGUGAAUAAAAAGGAACAAAAAAUGGCAUAAAUUUUCACUUUUAACUGCAUGCAGCCAAUGUCAUCUACGAUAAAUACACUAGCCAAUGUUUUACAUAAGGUAUUUAGUGCCCCGUCGGAUCCUGCAAUGGAGAAUCUGCAACAAACAUUGUUGGGGUAUUUGAAACUUGGAGGGGUUUUUUCAUCUGGAGUAUCAGCUCUGCUCUCUGGUUUAUGCCCUCGUCCAUUAAGCUUAGUAUUUCAUUUCAUUGUCAUGGCAAUGUAUGGUGUUGGCCAGUUGUUACUUCCAUUUCCUUCUCCCAAACGCUUGUUGGAUGGGGCUAAACUCCUUUGGGUCAGUAUCUCUAGCAAUGAUCAUUUCUCAUAUAUCAUGAUCACUAACACGAUAAAAAUAUAUAAUAAUUUUAAAAUGACGUUAUUUUUUUUUGUUUUUUCAGGUUGCAUCAAGUGUUUUUCUCCCCAUUAUACACUCUGAAGGAGUCAGACAAAUGUUUUUCCCUCUAACUGUGCCAGCAUAUUAUAGAACUCCCCCUAAGGGAAAAAAAAUCUGAGAGGAAACUCCAUGCAUCUGUAGUGAACAAUUCUAUAUAUAUUCGCAAUAGAUUUUCAUAUUUGUUUCUAGUUAGCAUUCUCAAGUAGGCUUAAUGGUCGUUUGUACUCAUAUUAUUUUUAUGUGUCUUGUUUAAAAUUCUAAAUAAAGGUUUUGUAAUUCUUGUGUUGGUGUUAUUUUUAUGUAUCUUGUUUGAAAUAUUGAACUAACGCGUUAGUAUUUUUAAGUAGGUUCAAUAAGCAUCCUAUUCGUAUUGUUUUUGUUAAUAUAACUUAUUCAUGAGUUCAUUAAUAUUAAUAAGUGUGUAGCGAUCUCAUGAGUUUGGAAAGCUCUUUGGGAGAGAUUUUGCACAACUUGAGUGUAUAUCCUAAAGCAUUUGUUGCGAUGGACAGGAUUUUUCUAGAUAGAGCUUUGAUAUAGGUGACUUGAGUGGAAAUAUCUAUCCAAAUUUUGCACAAAUUUACGACCGAGUGAAUAAAGUUGAGUUUAUGAUGCAUUUUCGAUAAAAUAUCUUUUUAGCUAACUGGGCGGCAAAAGUGACAUUAAAUAUUCCAGAAAAGAUCUUUGAUGCACUCCCCAAGCGUAUAGCAGAACUUCCCCCGGCAAUACCAAAAAAUAAGUUAAUUUGUCUUUUCCCUUGGUUUUUUCUCCAAUAAUAAUUUAUCCCUUUUUGUUUCUGCAUUACGUGUGGUGGAGGUACAUCUAUCAUAUUUUUGUCAACUUUUUUGUUUUUCCAUUACGUGAGGUGGACAGCGGCCAAACUAUGGGACUCCCUCACUUAAAAUAGAAAAUUUUUUAUUUAAAUUUUUAAAAUUUUUAAAAUUUUAAAUUAAAAAAAUAAAAUUGUACUUUGAUGUUUUUUAAAGUUGAUAAAAAUUUAAUUUAAUUUUUUAAAAAAUUAUAAAGAUAUAGGCUAUUAAAAUAGUAAAAUUAUAUUUUUAUUGUCAUAAAAAUUACAAUUUAAUUUCGACCUUCUAAAUUUUUUUGUGACAUUCGGGACUAAACUGAAUAAAUUAAAAGUUGUUAAGAAAUUAUGCCAUAGACUAAAAAUACAAGGUCUCUAACAUGAAAGUAUAUGAAAUCAGAUUUUGAUUCAAUACUAAAGAUUGAAAAGUAUGAGCAUUUCUAAUAUAGGGAAAAAUGAAGAAAAUACAAAAUAUAUUUGAUUAUAUGUUUAUCAUGUGGUUGAGUGAAAACUAAAGCUAUUUUAUAAUUGAAUUAUCGAACGUAGCUAAAAACAAUGUCAGGCCGUCCUAAGAUAAAGGAAAUGCGAGAAUCGAAGAAAGUAAUUAAUACGAACUAAUACGAUUUGUACAUUCAUGAUUCAAAUUCAAUAUUUGCAAACUAAAUUGUCUCAUGGUUUGGUUUGUAUUUCAAUACUAUUGAACAUAUGUUUGAUCUUUAGAUUUGUAAUUUGUAAAUGUUUAAUUUAAAUAUGAUAUAAAAGUAUGAAAAGUAAAAAAAAACGUGAUGAUAAUAAUAUUAAUUAUAAUUUAAAAGAAGAGAUAUUUUAUUAUUUUUAUUUCACUUUAAAAUAGAUCUGAUUUUACGAAAAUUUGAAACAAUAGAGAACUAACCUAGUAAAAAGUAUACUUUAUACUUUAUAAUUAAUAUUGUUUGAUAGAAAGCUGUUCUAAAAGUAUCACAAAAAUUAUCGAAUUAUUUAUUUUAUAUAAAGAAAAACUUAUAACCACUAAAUACAUAUUAAUAAAGACCUAAUAUUUAAUCAAUAUGAUAAAAAUAUCGAAUCAAUUUAAAAUUGUACAUGCAUAAGAACCACAUUAUUUAUAUCGAUAUAUUCAUUUUAUAAUUAUAUAAAAGUUUGAGUAAAACUAUUAGCUUUACAGGUGGAUCUCAGAGGCGAAGUAAGAAAAUUUUUAAGUGAAAUUAAAUUAUAUAUUUUUAAGAUAAUAAAAAUAUAAUUUUACUAUUUUUAAUAGUCCAUACUUUUAUAAAUUUUAAAAAGUUAAAUUAAAAUUUUAUCCUUUAUCAAAUAUUAUUAAUUUAAAAUUUUAUAAAAUAUCUGGCGGAGUACUGUGAUUUUAGUUGCCACUUGUGCAAAGGGAUAAGCCACUGACAUGACUGCAUCUGCAUCCAUGAAAGAAGCCAAAUUGAAUUGUAACUUACUGCUCCUUUACGCUAAGAAUUUUUUCAGAGACGUGGAAGUACAAAAACAGGCGGUGCUUCUUCAUUCUUAUAUAAAUGCUGUUCUUCUUGAUUAUUCUUUCCAUACAUUGUUCUUAAAACAAUGGCUGGGCAGUUUAUAGUUGGAGUUGCAAAUGUUAUAGCCUUGCUUUUGGGGUUUGUUUUCUUAGUGAGAUUUUGGGGGCUGAGCAAGCUGAAAAGAGCAGCUUCAAUGGGGUUCCCAAAGGAAAACUGUGUAAACAAAAAUGGAAAUGGUGAGGGUGAGAGUGAGAGUGAGGGUGUUGGGACUGCAGAAAUUAUCAUAGUCGGCGCUGGUGUUGCCGGUGCUGCUCUUGCCUAUUCUCUUGGAAAGGUCCCAAUUUUUUAUCACCUUUAUUUUAAUUUUAUAGAAUUAAGUUUCGACUUGGGAUAAUAAUAGUAUUGAACUCUAAAAGGAUCUUGGAGCCACAUACAUGACUCUCCCAACUUUUCCAAUAUUUUUGUAGUGAAAGAGAUUGUUUUAAUUUUUUAUUUAAAUUUUAUAUUUAGUGAUUUUAUUUCCUUAAAGGAACAUUGUGCACAGUUUUAAGUAGGUCUGCUCAUGACCUGGUCCAGCUCAAAAGCCCGCUCGAAAAAUAGAAGAUUUAGGUAAAAAUAUAGGCUCAAAAAAUGAGCUUGGGAGAAAAAUGCCCGUUUAGAAAACGGGCUAAGCCUCAAGUAAGGUUUUUCAGCCCGGCCCAAAUAUGUAGUUUUUUUUUUUGCAAUUUUUUUCUAUUUUCUUGUUGUUGUUUUUCACUAUUUUGCUACUAUUUCACUAUUAUGUCGUUAUUAUUUUGUUGUUAUUGUAUAACUAUUGUUUUAUUGUUAAUUUUGUUAUUAUUUUAGAGGUAUUUGCUUGUUAAGUUGCACUUAUCUUAGUGUUAUUUAAGUAUACAUUUUUUAAAAAAUUUAUUUUUAAUUUGUUGGAAAACAAUUAUUUUAAUAUUUUUAAUAUUUUUUUAAAAAAAAAUUAAUAUAAGCGGAGCCCGGGUUUUAACAUUUUAUUCGGGCUAGGCUUGAGCAAAAUUUAAGGACCAUUUUUUGGGCUCGGGCCAAGCAAACGAGUCUAAAAUUUUGGUUUUGCCCGGCCAAACCCAUAAACACCUCUAGUUUUAAGUAAUCAUAUGUUAUUUCUUCUUAAUUGUUCUUUUUAAAUAUGUAUUUAUGCCAUCUUUUUUUAACUUACAUAUAUGUCUUUUUUGUAGUAUAACUAACAUACAUAAUAUACGUUACAAGAAAUAAAUAUAAAAGAUACUUUAAUUAUGACAAAUAAAAAAAUUGAAAUUCCUUCUUAAUUAUAUUUAAUGUAGAAAUACAUAUAAAUAUCUAAGAUUUUAAAAAAUAUUGUAGAGGUGGGGAAUGUCGCAUUUAGCUUCAAUUAACAUCAGUUUCUCUUCAAGUUACCAUAAGAUCCUUGAAAAAUGGAGUUAACUAUGAUGUUAUACCUAAUAAUACUUCUAUAAUUAUAUAUUGUAGGAUGGACGUCGAGUGCGAGUGAUAGAAAGGGACUUAAAUGCACCUAAUAGAAUUGCUGGUGAAGCUCUAAUGCCUGGAGGCUACCUCAAGUUAAUUGAAUUAGGCCUUGAAGGUAAAUAAGAAUAGUGGAUGCAAUAUAAUAUUUCAAUGUCAUUUCUUUAAAUAUAUUACUUUGAAUGUUGGCACUACAGAUUGCUUAGAUGAGAUUGAUGCUCAACGAUUUUUGGGUUAUACUCUAAACAAGGAUGGAAAGGAGGCUCUCAUAUCUUUUCCAUUGGAAAAGAUUCAUUCUCAUGUUGUAGGAAGAACUUUCCAUAACGGUCGUUUCGUUCAAACAUUACGAAAGAAAGUAGCAUCUCUUCACAAGUACUUUCUCUCCUUCCUCCCAAUCAUUCUUUAAUUUCAAUUUAAUAUAUUAGAACAUUUAUCUUAAUGGAUUAAAUGACUUGUAGUUGUUUUGAUCCAUUACUUUUGUUUAUGAGCUCGUCCAGUUGAUUUUGGUUUGAUCAAUUUAGAUAAAAUCACUCAAGUUUUAAAACUAACACAUCAUUUUGGUUUUUAUCAUUUUAGGCUAAGGAUUAUUUUGGGUUCAGAUCAUUUCCAGUUUAUAUUUGAGUCAUUUUGCUCCGGGUUUCAAAUUUUUGAGUGUGGUCAUUACAAUUUCAUAUCGUUUUGGUUCUAGUCACUUCGAGUUUGGAUCCUUCCAAGUUAAUUUUUGAAUCAUUUUGGGUCUGAGUUGUUUUAAGUUCAAGUUAGUUUGGGUUAGAGUAAAAUUUUGUUCAAGUUGGAGGGACUCAAAUUGUGGACCCUUUAUAGUCAAAUCAAAUUGGAUCAAAUUUAAGUUCCAAUUGGUCGAGUCAAAUUUUCAAAUUCAAGUCAAAAUUGACAUGUCUGGUUCUGUUACUAUUACUUUGUUUCAACUUGUUUUAAUCAGAAAUUAUGCCUCUCUUUACAAGGUCCAAAUUCAUGUUUUUAUGAUAUGAUAACGCAGUGUAAGUUUAGAACAAGGGACAGUAAUAUCUCUACUUGAAGAAAAUGGUAUUGUCAAAGGAGUGCACUAUAAAGAUAAGAGUGGUCAAUUGCUAACAGCUUACGCUCCUCUCACCAUUGUCUGUGAUGGUUGUUUCUCGAAUUUGAGACACUCUCUCUGCCAUUCUAAGGUGAAAAAAAUGUUUACGUAUUCUUGUUAAAUUAGUUUAAUUCUUAUUUUAGUCACUCUAUAACGUUAAAAAUUUGAGAUUUAGUCCUAUUUUAUUGUGCCAUAAUUUGAUUCCAUUAUUUUUGUGAAGAUAUUAGUAUGUCAAAAUAGAUCAGUUGCUUUUAUUAAAGAAUUGACUUAUUUUUUGGUCAUAUAGUCAAGGUCACAUUGAAAUCAAGUCAAUUAGGUUGAACCAAUAAUGAAAUUUCAUGUUACUCGAAUGUUAGUUAGUUUUAACAAAAAUCUAUGUCAUUAUUUCAAUGGUAACAAUUAACGGUGUCAUCAAUUUGGAUCUACAAUAAAGAUAGAGAGACUAAAUUUUGCCAAAUUGAAAUAGAGGAAUAAAAUUCCAAUUUCAGCUUGGUAGAAGGACUAAAACCAUAAUUAGACUUAAAUUAUAUGCUUUGAGAAAAUAUGCAUAUAAAGGUCUCGAUUAUUUGUGCAGGUGGAUAUACCUUCUUAUUUUGUUGGUUUUAUCUUGACGAACUGUAAACUUCCAAAAGAAAAAUAUGGAGUUUUUAUAUUAGCAGAUCCUUCACCUAUCCUAUUUUAUCCCAUUAGUAGCACAGAAAUUCGUUGCUUGGUGGAUGUUCCUAGUCAAAAUCUACCCUCUGUUUCCAAUGGUGAAAUGGCUCAUUACUUGAAAACUUUGGUGGCUCCCAAGGUAUAUUUAUAUCUUUCUUUAAUUGACUCAUUAAUGGAAUUUGGUUGAACUUAUGGACUAACUGUAUGAUCUAUGAUACAUUUCAGGUUCUUCCUGAAUUAUACAAUUCCUUUAUAUCUGCAAUAGAGAAGAAGGACAACAUAAGAAUAAUGCCGAACAAAAUCAUGGCUGGUGCUCCACACCUCACUCCUGGUGCUUUUUUGAUCGGCGAUGCAUUCAACAUGCGGCAUGCUAUAACUGGAGGGGGAAUGACUGUUGCUUUAUCUGAUGUUGUGAUACUUAGGGAUCUUCUAAGACCCUUGCAUGAUCUAUCUGAUGCAUCCGCCAUUUGCAAAUAUCUCGAAUCCUUUUAUACUCUGAGGAAGGUAUUGUAGUUAAUGUCCUAUAUGAAUUUUUUAAAGUGAAAAAAAAGGAACAAAAAAUGGCAUAAAUUUUCACUUUUAACUGCAUGCAGCCAAUGUCAUCUACGAUAAAUACACUAGCCAAUGUUUUACAUAAGGUAUUUAGUGCCCCGUCCGAUCCUGCAAUGGAGAAUCUGCAACAAACAUUGUUGGGGUAUUUGAAACUUGGAGGGGUUUUUUCAUCUGGAGUAUCAGCUCUGCUCUCUGGUUUAUGCCCUCGUCCAUUAAGCUUAGCAUUUCAUUUCAUUGUCAUGGCAAUAUAUGGUGUUGGCCAGUUGUUACUUCCAUUUCCUUCUCCCAAACGCUUGUUGGAUGGAGCUAAACUCCUUUGGGUCAGUAUCUCUACCAAUCAUUUCUCAUAUAUCAUGAUCACUAACACGAUAAAAAUAUAUAAUAAUUUAAAAAUGACGUUCUUUUUUUUGUUGUUGUUGUUUUUUCAGGUUGCAUCAAGUGUUCUUCUCCCCAUUAUACACUCUGAAGGAGUCAGACAAAUGUUUUUCCCUCUAACUGUGCCAGCAUAUUAUAGAACUCCCCCUAAGGGAAAAAAAAUCUAAGAGGAAACUCCAUGCAUCUGUAGUGAACAAUUCUAUAUAUAUUCGCAAUAGAUUUUCAUAUUUGUUUCUAGUUAGCAUUCUCAGGUAGGCUUGAUGGUGGUUUGUACUCAUAUUGUUUUUACGUGUCUUGUUUAAAAUUCUAAAUAAAGGUUUAGUAAUUCUUGUGUUGGUGUUGUUUUUAUGUAGCUUGUUUGAAAUAUUGAACUAACGAGUUAGCAUUUUUAAGUAGGUUCAAUAAGCAUCCUAUUCGUACUGUUUUUGUUAAUAUAAAUUAUCCAUGAGUUCAUUAAUAUUAUUAAGUGUAUAGAGAUCUCAUGAGUUUGGAAAGCUCUUUGAGAGAGAUUUGGCACAACUUAAGCGUAUAUCCUAAAGCAUUUCUUGCGAUGGAGAGGAUAUUUCUAGAUAGAGCUUUGAUAUAGGUGACUUGAGUGGAAACAUCUAUCCAAAUUUUGCACAAAUUUACAACCAAGUGAAUAAAAUUGAGUUUAUGAUACAUUUUCGAUUAAAUAUCUUUUUAGCUAACUGGACGGCAAAAGUGACAUUAAGGGUGAGUUUGGAUGGGCGGUGCGUUUACCUGCGGUUAGUGUAAAAAUAGCAAUAGCGGUGAGAUUAGAUACUGUAGUGAUACUGUAGCGUAAGACAAAAAGUAAGUUAAACACACCGCACCACACCCAAUCGCCCAUCCAAACCCACCCUAAAUAUUCCGGAAAAGAUCUUUGAUGCACUCCCCAAGCGUAUAGCAGAACUCCCCCGGCACUUUUUAUCAUACCAAAAGUUAAAUUAAUUUGUCUUUUCCCUCUCUUUUUUUUCCAAUAAUAAUUUAUCCUUUUUGUUUUUGCAUUACGUGUGGUGGAGGUACAUCUAUCAUAUUUUUGUCAAGUUUUUAUUUUCUUCCCUUUCGAUUCGCUAUUUCUCUGCUAACCUCUCUUCAAUUUCCCUCUUUCUCAAUUUGGUAAAGGACGACACGGAUGAAUUAAGUUAAAUGUCCUCUUAAGAAACGGCGCCGUUAAAGGUAAUUUUAAUUCAGAGUUGCGGCGUUUUGCGAAAAAACGCUGCUAUUGCAUCCACAUUUGCGGUGUUUUAAUAAUAAAGAACGCCACUAAAAUUUUUAGUACAGAAAGAAACGGUGCCGUUUUAUUAAAAUAUAAUGCAUGUUCUGGUGUUUUUCCAAAAAAUGCCACUAAAAGAUUCCAUCCUUCCAUUGAAACGGUGCCGUUUUGCCAACUUUUAAGUAUCAUUUACGGCAUUUUUCGGAAAAACACUAUAACUCAAAUUUAAUCCCUAAACUGAAACGACGCCGUAUCGAAAAAUGCAAUAAAUGUUUGUGGCAUUUUUUACCAAAACGCCGAUAAUGUCUACCUUUUGCGGUGUUUUUGAUAUAAACGCCACUAAUAAAUUUAAAUUCUCCUAUCGAAACGGUGCCGUUUUGAGAAAUUUGACUAUAUAGUAACGGCAUUUUUUUUGUUAAAAACACCGCUAAAUCUCAAAUAUUUUAUUUAUUUAUUUAUUUAUUGUAUCUUUCAUUUAAAUUUUACGUAAAUAAUUAUUAAAAUUUUAAGUAAUAUUUUAAAAGUAUUUGAUACAUGUAUAAAUUUUAGUUUUUUUAUUUCAUUUUUAUUUUUUUAUUUUAUUUUUUCUUAUAUUUUGGUCCUAUACAAAUUAAAUAAUUAAUUACCUAUAUAUAUAUAUCCAUAUCAAAAAUAUCAAUGGUUAGGGUUAAAUGUUUUUAAAUAUACAAGUAUUAAUUAAUUGUAUCAUUUAACAAGUCUCAAAUAAACCUUAAACCCUAAAUUAACCAAUCAAUCUACAUGCAUAAAGUGAUCGUCUAUCUAUUAUAUAUCUCUUAAAUAAUAUAAAUUAUACUCAUAAUUUCAAUAUAUUAAAUUUAUUAUUAUCUAUUUUACAAAUAUAUAAGAACAUAUUUAAUAUAUAAAUUAAUAAAACUAAUUAAUCUAAACUUAAACCCUAACUUGACCCUUGAAACCCCAAACCCUAAAUCCCUAACCCCUAACCCCUAAAUCCCCCUAACACCUAAAGCAUAACCCCUAACACUUGAACCUUAAAUCCCAAACCCUAAAUCCAUACCCCCUACUCCUUAAAAUACCAUCCAAAAAAAUCCUUAAAUCUUUAACAAUCAUAAAAUAUAGUUAAAAUCGAUUAAACAAUAAUUAAUAGUUAAAAAUUUUGUAUAAAUUGGUGUUUUAUAUUACUUUCUUUGAUUUAUUUAGUCGAACUAUCAAAAUUUAUUAUUCUUAUAAAAGUUUAUUCUAUUUUUUAUUCUUUACAACACAACAAUUUAAGUUUUAUGAUAUUUUAUUUUACUCAUAGUUUAAUAUAUUUUUUUCUAGUAAAGUAGUUUAAAUAAACUGUGAUUAAAAAAUAAUAAUAAAUAGUUAGGAGUUAGGACUUCUCUUUAAUUAUAAAAAUAUUUUGUAUUAAACAAUAUUAUUUGUUAUCAUUUAAAUGUAAAUUUGUCCACUAUAUAACAUGGUCUUUAGCGUCGUUUUUUUCUAAGCGCCGCUAAAGAACAUGGUCUUUAGCGGCGUUUUUGUUUGUAAAUGCUGCAAACGUUUGCGACGUUUUCGUUAGCGGCCUUUUUUGCGGCGCUUGUGGAAGCGCCGCAAAUACCUUUAGUGGCGUUAUAAAGCGCCGCUAAAGGCCUAAAAAAACGCCGCUAAAGACCCGUUUUGGUGUAGUGUUAUAAUAAAAAAAAUAUAAUUCAAACAUUACUUGAGAAUAUAUCAAAGAAUGAGAUAAUUGAAAUGGGUAUUAGAUUUUAUUAUUAUUAGCGGUGCUAUUUCAAAAACGCCGCUAAAGGCCCGAGCAUUAGCGGCGCAAUUUCAAAAAAGCCGCUAAAGGCCCGAGCAUUAGCGGCGCUAUCUCAAAAACGCUGCUAAAGGACCGAGCAUUAGUGGCACUACUCCAAAAACGCCGCUAAAGGCCCCAAAAACUCAGGCGUCGUUGGUCUUAGGUUUUUUGCGGCGCUUUUCGGAAAACGCGCUAAUUCUUAUUUUUGGCGGCGUUUUUCGAAAAGCGCCGCUAAUGCUCGAUCUUUAGCUGUGUUUUUAUAAAAGCGCCGCUAAUGCUUGAUUUUUAGUAGCGUUUUUUAUCCAAACGCCACUAAAAAUGCCACUAAAAGCCUAUUUUGGUGAAGUGGUAGUAUUGGUUCACAUCGUAGGGCGUACCAAGAGCACUAAAAAUGAUAAUGCAUAGGGUCUCAUGAGCUUGGAGAGUUGUUUGGGAGAGAUUUAGAACAACUUUAGCAUGUAUCCUAAAGCAUUUCUUGUGGUGGAGAGGGCCUUUCUAGAUGACGAGGAACUUUGGUAUGGGAGACUUGAGUGGAAACAGUCAUCCAAGUUUUGCACAGGCUUACAGCCGAGUGAAUAAAGUUGAGUCCGUAACACAUUACGAGCUUAAUAUAUUCCUCGAUAAAAAGUCUUUUUAGUUAACUGGAUGGAAAAAGUAGCAUUAAAUAUUCUUAAAAUGAUCUUUACUUUUGAUGAACCACCCCCAGAGAUCAUGGUCACCCUUAAAACUGAUGUGAAAGAAUUUGCCUUCCCAGAUUUAGGGAAAAUUCUCCCAUGCGCUCCAAGCAUGCACACAUAUAUGUAAUUUUUACCGACUUUUCUAAUGCUAUUUUUGUUAGAAAUAUUAGUAUUGGUAUAAGUUAGAAAUGUCGGUAAAAACUAAAAAAAUUUGAUAGACUCCCCAAGCGUAUAGCAGGAUUCCCGACGUUUAAUUGUUGCUUAUUAAGCUCUAGGGCCCUCUAUCAUACCAAAAAUUAAAUUAUUUUGUUUUUUCCUUUUGUUUCUUUUAAUGCCUUCUUCUUUUGUUUUUUUUUUCCUUUUUGUUUCUUUUACUGCCUUAUUACAACUUCAUGAAUAAAACGUGGGUAUUUUUCCACCCAAAUAACAUCACUACAAAUACACCUGCAUGUCUAGUCAUUUUUGUGAGCAGCGUUGCUUUGGGGACUUAGCGAUCGCAGGACCCAUGUUUUGGCUACUCUUGUUUACUGUCUUCCAAAUUAGAGAUGAUUUGUAGAGCAUCUCCCUCAACAAUAAUAUCCCAGCACGUGCUUAUUCACUCCCCCACCAUUCCUCCCUUCUCUUCUAUAAAUCAUGUUCUUCUUGAUUAUUCGUUCCACGCAUUGUUAUUAAAUCAAUGGCUGAGCAGUACAUAGUUGGAGUUGGAGCUGUUAUAGCCUCUCUUUUGGGGUUCCUUUUCUUGUACUGCAAUUCCCUCAUAAGAUUUAGGGGACUGAGUAAGCUAAAAAGAGCAGCUUCAAUGGAGUUCCCAAAGGGGAACAGUGUAAACAAAACUGGAAAUAGUGAGGGUGUUGGCACUACGGAUAUUAUCAUAGUCGGCGCCGGUGUUGCCGGUGCUGCUCUUGCCUAUUCUCUUGGAAAGGUCCCAUUUUUUCUCCUUGUUCUUUAUUUUGUUCUACCAUAGUUUUAAUCAUCUUAUUUUCCUCUUCCUGCAUAUAACAAUUACUAUAUUUUUUUUUUUUUGUAAAAAUACCAUAGUGGCCUCUUAUCAGGAGUCAAACUACAUAUAUCUUCAUUUACUCAAAUAUUUCAUAAAUUAGUCUAUUUAUAUUAGAUCAAGUAGCAAACGGGUCAUUUCUAUUAAAAAAUUAAUCCAUUUUUACGGUUAAAAUUAAUGUGGCUGACAAAAUAACCAAAUAGUUAUACAUAACAUGCCAUAUGUGCCUCACGCUAACAUAUAGGGACCAAACUUUAACAGUAGGAAUUGAUGGAUUUUUUAAUAGAGGACCAAUUUGAUCUUUGAUCUAUUGUCUAGAGACUAAUUUGUUCAUUUUUUAGUAAAGGAGACAAAUGUAAUCCGACUUUUAGUACAAGGCUUAAUGAUGCUUUUACUAAUUUCUUUUAGGAACAAUUACUAAUUAAGUUUUCAUUUUAUUAUUAUUAUUUAUAGACAUUUUAUUAUUAUUGGUUGAAGUAUUAUAUGAGAAGAUAAUAAGUUAAUUUAAUUUCACGUGGAUCUGUGUUUAUUUUUUAUAAUAAAUUCAAAUUUUAAUUUGAUGGUAAAAUGAAAUAUUCAAUACUUUCUUAAACUGGAUCGGUUUUGAUUGAGAAUUGAUUAGGGGAUUGAUCCAAAAGAAAUAAAAAAAUUACUUGAUUCAUGAAUCAGUAUAAUCUGAUUAAAUCGGUGAUUGAAUUUGUUGAUCCAAAUUUUAUAAUUUUUUUAUUUUUGUUUUUAAAUUUUUUUUAAUAAUCUAUUUAACUUAAAUAAGAUAAACAAAUGGAUCGAAAAUUGAUAUUUAACUAAUUUGACCGUGAAUUUAGAAAACAUCAAAUAUAAUAUUAGCAACUAAGAAUAUAUAUAUAUAUGAAUUUUUUUUAUAAUUGGUAAGGCAUAAUAUGAAGUACUAAUAGAUAUAAAAUAUAUUUUGACAGUCGGAUUUAAUUUUAUUUAAUAUAAAUAGAUAUAAGUAUUUGAAUUAUUAUAAUAUAUAUUAACUGUUAGAAAAAAUUUUAUAAAUCUCGAUUGAGUUUUAGUUCAAUUGACAUGAGUAUUGUUGUUAAUGCGCUGAAACGUAUUAUACUCUUAUACAUAAGUUGAGAAUGAGCUGUAGGUAGUUCUAAGUAUUAUUUCAACAAAUAGCAUAUAUAAUCAGAACUUGUAAUAAGAUUGUUAAAACAAAAUCUAUAAGUUAAACAAAUUUUGUAGGUCCUUUAUUUAUUAAUUUUGAUUUUUUAAAAGGUUAAUUUUUAAUUACACCCUAAAAUAUAUCUAAAUCUUUUUUUUUGGUUAAAACUAAUACUUAGACUAUAAUUCAUUUAAUGCAACAUCAAUAAAUAAUUCUGAUUUUAUAAUAUUAUUUAUAGUAAUAUUAAUUAAAAAAUUAUAAUAACAUUUAAAAAAAAUAUUUCCCAACCCCACCACCGUUCUCCCCUCCUCCUCCCUUACCGUUCCUCCCUUUCACCCCUCACCCUCUCCCCACCGACCACCACCGCCGAGAGAAAGGGGCUUAAAUAUGGGCGUGUAUCAGUUUUAUAUAGUAAACCUCAAUCGUAGACCACCUUUGUGCUGGAUAUGUUGGUUAAUACUUGUUUUUCAUUAACAUGAGAGAAGCUUGAGGAAAGAAAAGUAAGAAUAUAGCAGUGGUUACUUCAUUCUACAGUUCCUAGACCGUUUGUGUAGUUGGGAAUUGUCCCAAGUCAUUUUUGUCCCAGAAUUCACCAUUUGACCAUUGAGUUUCAUUCUACAAAUCCAAACUAGGUUACAAAGUUGCAAUUUCUCAUAAGCUAAGCCAAACUUCUACUGUACUUGUAGUUUGUUUGCCAUUUUUUUUCCCUUCAAGAGCCAUUAAUACUUUGAUGGUAACUUGAUCUCCUUGGGUACAGAAGUGUUUUAGUUGAGGGAAAAAGGACAAUCAAAACCUGUAGUUUUUCUGCUAAUGUAAGAUAUGGGGGGAGGGGAGAGGGAGAGAGAGGGAGCCAAGAGGGGUGGCCGGGUGGGGGUGAGGGAGGAAAAUAUUUUUAUUUCUUUAGUGUUAACAUGCAUGUCAUAUGCACAUGAUGAAAUAAGAAACCUAUGUAUUGCAAUUGCAUAUGAUAGAACUCGAAUCUAGGUGCUUAAAAAUCCAGAGCCUCUCCCUUAAGCAACAAUACCAAAACUUAACAUGGUAUCAUACGUGACAAUUCUUCACAAUUUUCAUGUUACAGGACGGACGUCGAGUGCGAAUGAUAGAGAGGGACUUAAAUAUGCCUAAUAGAAUUGUCGGUGAACUUCUAUAUCCAGGAGGCUACAUAAAGUUAAUUGAAUUAGGCCUUGAGGGUAAACAACAAAUAAAUUGUGGAUUUAAAUAGUAGAUGCAAUAUAAUGUUACAAUGUUAGUUAUUUAUACAGUAACUUUUUUUUACUUUGAAUGUUGGUACUAUAGAUUGUGUAGAUGAGAUUGAUGCUCAACAAUUUUUGGGUUAUACUCUAUACAAGGAUGGAAAGGAGACUCUCGUAUCUUAUCCAUUGGAAAAGUUUCAGUCUCAUAUUUCAGGAAGAACCUCCCAUAAUGGUCGUUUCGUUCAAAGGCUGCGAAAAAAAGCUUCAUCACUUCACAAGUAUUUUCUCCCCUUCCUCUUAAUCAUUUUUCAAAUUCAACAUAAGAUGUCUAACAUUUGUCUUAACAAAUUAAAUUAGACUUGGCAAUUGAGCUAGUUGAAUAGAUUUUGGGUCAUGUCAAUCUAGAUCGAGCCAUUCAAGUUGCAAAAUUCUUUGAGUAAAUAUGGUAUUAGUGUGUUUAGAUUUAAGUCACUUUAAGUUUGGAUUCGAGUCAUUUUGAGUUCAGGUUAGAAUGGUUUGAAGCCUGAGUUUUUAGGGUCGAGCUAUGAUAGGUUCAUGUCAUUUUAGGUUAUAAUCACUUCAAUUUUUGGUCUUUCAAGUUGUUUGGAUCAUUUCAAGUUGGAGCGAAAAAUUUAUGUUAUGGUGAAAUAAGGUUCGAGUUAGAGGGGUUCAUGUUGUUGAUUCUUUAUAGUAAGUUUAGUUUUGAAUUGAUUAAGUUAGGUUUUAGGUUAAGGUUAAAAUUUAAAAGUUGACUUCUAUAUGUAUUAUUUUGCUAACUUGUUACAACAAUUUAUUAGAAAUAGUACAUUUGAAAUUAUACUUUUCUUUACAAGAUCCAAUUUGAUGCAUUGAUAUUAUGAUAAUAUAGUGUAACUCUAGAACAAGGGACAGUAACAUCUCUGAUUGAAGAAAACGGUAUUGUCAAAGGAGUGCACUACAAAAAUAAGAGUGGUCAAGUGUUGACAGCUUACGCUCCUCUCACAAUUGUAUGCGAUGGUUGUUUCUCAAAUUUGAGACGCUCUCUUUGUUAUCCUAAGGUAAAAAUGCUUAAGAAUUAGUGUUAAAUUAUUCUAGUUAUAGUUUUCAUCUCUCUAAUUUUAUAUUUCAACAUUCUACUUUAAUUUGGCUUAAUUUGAUUCAUUUAUUUUUUUAUAAUGUUUUUAUAAUGUCCAAAAUGAUAACAUCAUUAGUUGCUUUUUGUUAGGCCACAUAAAAUUUCAAUCAACCAUAUUCAACCACAUAAUUUUUUUUCUCCAAAUUAAAGAAAAUGGAUUAAAUUCCAAUUUUAGGAUAAUAGAAGGACUAAAACUUUUAUUAGACUUGUUAAAUUCUAUGCUUAGAGAAAAUAUAUAAAGGUCUAUAUUUUUUUUUCUGCAGGUUGAUAUACCCUCUUAUCUUGUUGGUCUUACACUGACAAACUGUAACCUUCCAAAAAAAAAUUAUGGAGCUAUUAUAUUAGGACACCCUUCACCAAUCAUAUUGUAUCCAGUUAGCAGCACUGAAAUUCGUUGCAUGGUGGAUGUUCCUAGUGAAAAGGUACCUUCAGUUUCCAAUGGUGAAAUGGCAUGUUACUUGAAAACUCAGGUGGCUCCCAAGGUAUAUUUAGAUCUUUCUUUUAUUCAUUCAGUAGGGGAAUUUGGCUUAAUUUAUGGACUAACUGUAUGGCUUAUAAUAUAUUUCAGGUUCUUCCUGAAUUGUACAAUUCCUUUAUGUCUGCAAUAGAGAAGAAGGGUAACAUAAGAAUAAUGCCGGCUAAAAUCAUGGCUGCUGCUCCACACCUGACUCCUGGUGCGCUUCUGAUUGGAGAUGCACUCAACAUGCGGCACGCUAUAACCGGAGGGGGAAUGACUGUUGCUCUGUCUGAUGUCGUAAUACUUAGGGAUCUUCUAAGACCCUUGCAUGAUCUAUCCGAUGCAUUCACCAUUUCCAAAUAUCUCGAAUCCUUUUAUACUCUGAGGAAGGUAUUGUAGUUUCAUGUUUUAUAUGCAUUUUGAAAGUGAAUGGCAAUGAUGAAAACGGUAUAAUUUUGCCCUUUAACUACAUGCAGCCAAUGUCAUCUACAAUAAAUAUACUGGCUAAUGUCCUACAGAAGGUAUUCAGUGCCUCGUCCAAUCCUGCAAUGGAGAAUCUGCAGCACACCUUUUUGGGGUAUUUGAGACUUGGAGGGAUGUUUUCAUAUGGAGCAUCCGCUAUGCUCUCUGGUUUAUGCCCUUCUCCAUUAAGCUUAGCAUUUCAUUUCUUUUCCAUUGCAAUAUAUGGCGUUGGCCGAUUGUUACUUCCAUUUCCUUCUCCCAGGCGUUUGUGGGAUGGGGCUAAAUUCCUUUGGGUCAGUAUCUUUACUAAACAUUUAUAUAUUAACAUGAUAUAAAUAUAUAAGAUCUUAAAUAUGAUUAUGAUAUAGAUUCAUAUUAAUACAAAUAUUUUAUUGUUUUUCAGGUGGCAUCAAGUAUUCUUCUCCCCUACAUAUACUCUGAAGGAAUCAGACAAAUGUUUUUCCCUCUAACUGUGCCAGCAUAUUAUAGAACUCCCCCUAAAAAAGGUCCCAAAAAGAAACUUCAUGCAUUAAUUAGCAGUGUUUGUUGGAACAAUUCUAUGUUCUUAACAAAAUCUCGCAUCUGUUACUAGCAUUCUUAAGUAGGCUGGAUAAUCUUUUGUAUAUGUGAUGUUUAAAAUGGUAAAUAAAUGAGUUGGCUAAAUUGCUUUGGGUCGGUAUCUUUACCAAACAUUUGUAUAAUAACAUGAAUAUAUAAGAUCUUAAAUAUGAUUAUGAGAUAGAAUCAUAUUAAUAAAAAUAUUUUCAUGUUUUUCAGGUGGCAUCAAGUAUUCUUCUCCCCUACAUAGACUCCGAAGGAAUCAGACAAAUGUUCUUCCCCCUAACUGUGCCAGCAUAUUAUAGAACUCCCCCUGAAAAUAAGGACAAAAAAAAAACUUCAUGCAUUAAUUAGCAGUAUUUGUUGGAACAAUUCUAUGUUCAUCUGUUACUUGCAUUCUUAAGUAGGUCUUAAGACAAUUAGACGCAUGUCUAGAGACAAUGACGCAUCAAAGCUAAAAUAAGAAAAUAGGUGAGGUCAAUCUCGAGACAUGAAAGACUUUGUCCCAAGAUAUGCUAAAAUCGAAACAAAAUUCUCAAAAAUGAAAUGUGGCAUGUCUUAACUCUUAAAUAUUCAACCUUAUAUUUUGAUAAAUUAUGAUCCUAUACAUUAAGAAUAGAUGUGUAUGGAUAUGUUAAAUGAAAUAAAUGAAUUGAAAUGAUUACUAUACAUUGACUGAUGUGUUCAAAAUGUAAGUUAGCCUGAGUUGUUUUUAGGGGUGCUCAAAUUUCUAUUAAAACCGAAUUAACUGACCAAACCAAUCUAAUUUGGUUAAUCGGUUGAUUAACCGAUCUAAUUCGGUCAGAGAUCGAUUAAUGAUUUUUUGAAAGUUUAUUUUUUAAUUAAUUCGGUUCACAAUCAGGUAAUUAAUCGAAUUAACUAAAAUAAAUAAUAUAUAUUAGCAGCCCACCCAAGCCGCAGCCACUACCUAGCACAGGCCCCACUAACCCAACCUAAAUAAACAUUUAAAAUCCAAUCCAAUCCACAUAAUUAAUUUAAUUAUAAAAUUAAUUUAUAUUAAAUAAAUAAUUUAAUAAAAAUUGGAAUCCCUAAAAAAACUAAAAAUAACUCAGUAACUCACACCUAUUUCGAUAUUUUUAAUCUCCCAAAAUUCCUAAUCGCAAAUACCUUCCAUUUGCUAAAGAAGAGGUUCGUUUUUCUUUAAAGACAUUUUCUAUCCAUUUACUAAAGAUGUUUAUCUUCGAUAAACCAUCACCGGAGAUCAUGGCCGCCCUUAAAAUUGACGUGAAAGGAGUUACCUUCUCACAUUUAGGGAAAAUUCUCCCAUGCUCUCCAAGCAUGCACACAUGUAUGUUAGGCUACUCUUGUUUACUGUCUUCCAAACUAGAGAUGAUUUGGAGAGCAUCUUCCUCAACAAUAAUAGAAUGAUAUCCCAACACGUGCUUAUUCACUCACCCACCAUUCCUCCCUUUUCUUCUAUAAAUCAUGUUCUUCUUGAUUAUUCGUUCCACGCAUUGUUAUUAAAUCAAUGGCUGAGCAGUACAUAGUUGGAGUUGGAGCUGUUAUAGCCUCUCUUUUGGGGUUCCUUUUCUUGUACUGCAAUUCCCUUAAAAGAUUUAGGGGACUGAGAAAGCUAAAAAGAGCAGCUUCAAUGGAGUUUCCAAAGGGGAACAGUGUAAAAAAAACUGGAAAUAGUGAGGAUGUUGGCACUACGGAUAUUAUCAUAGUCGGCGCCGGUGUUGCCGGUGCUGCUCUUGCCUAUUCUCUUGGAAAGGUCCCAUUUUUUCUCCUUGUUCUUUAUUUUGUUCUACCAUGGUUUUAAUCAUCUUAUAUUCCUCUUCCAGCAUAUAACAAUUACUAGUUUUUUUUUGGGAAAAAAUAUCAUGGUUACCUCUUACUAGGAGUCAAAUUGCAUAUAAAUUAGUCUUUUUAUAUUAGAUCAAGUAGCAAAUUGAUCAUUUCUAUUAAAAAUUUAAUCCAUUUUUACGAUUAAAAUUGGUGUGGUUGACAGAAUAAUCAAAUAGUUAUACAUAGCGCGUUGUACCUUAUGCUAACGUAUAGGGACCAAUUUUUAACUGUAGGAAUUUAUGGACUUUUUAACAGAGGGCUAAUUUGCUCUUUGAUCUAUUGUAUAGGGACUAAUUUGUUCAUUUUUUAGUAGAGGAGACAAAUACAAUCCGAUUCUUAGUACAAGGCCCUCCAUGAUGCUUUUACCAAUUUUUUUGAGGAACAAUUACUAAUUAAGUUUGCAUUUUAUUAUUAUUAUUUAUACACAUUUUAUUAUUAUUGGUUGAAGUAUUAUAAGAUAAUAUUACGAUAAGUUAAUUUAAUUUCACAUGGAUCUAUGUUUAUUUUUUAUAAUAAAUUCAAAUUUUAAUUUGAUGGCAGAAUGAAAUAUUCAAUAUUUUCUUAAACUGUACCGGUUCUGAUUGAGAAUUGAUUAGGGUAUUGGUCCAAAAGAAAUAAAAAAUCACUUGAUUCAUGAAUCAGUAUAAACUGAUUAUAUCAAUGAUUGAAUUUGUUGAUCCAGAUUUUAUAAUUUUUGUUAUUUUUAUUUUUUAAUAAUUUAUUUAACUUAAAUAAGAUAAACAAAUGGAUCGAAAAUUGAUGAUUUGACUAGUUUCACAGUCAAUUUAGAAAACAUCAAAUAUAGUAUUAGUAACUAAGAAUAUAUAUAUCAAUUUUGUAAAAAUAAAACGUCGGUAAUGACAAUAUAUUGUAAAGAAAAAGAGAAAUAAAAAUAAAAAACACACAGAUUUUUACGUGGAAACCCUUUCGGGGAAAAAACCACAGGCAGAGGAGAAGAAAAUUCUCUAUGUCAAAUUCGAUUGAUUACAAGAGAAGUUUCGACUACAUCUAUUUAUAGGUUAAUUCUAAUCAAAGUUAAAUAUAUUAUGUUAACAAAUGCUAAAUAUACUAGACUCAUAAAUACUAAAUCUUCUAGAAAGAAGAUAUAUUUUGUUUAACUUGACUUGCAAGCAAUCUCUUAGAAUUUGGGUCAUACAACUCUAACAAUUUUUUUAUAAUUGGUAAGGCACAAUAUGAAGUACUAAUAAAAAAUAGCAUAUAUAAUCAGAACUUGUAAUGAGAUUAUUAAAAAAAUCUAUAAAUAUGUUAAAUAAAUUUUGUAGGUCCUUUAUUUAUUAAUUUUUAUUUUUUAAAAGAUUUAAUUGAUAAAUUACACCCUAAAAUAUAUCUAAAUCUUUUUUUUUGGUUAAAACUAAUACUUAAACUAUAAUUCAUUUAAUGCAACAUCAAUAAAUAAUUCUGGUUUAUAAUAUUAUUAAUAUUAACAUUAAUUAAAAAUUAUAAUAACAUUUCAAAAAUUCCCUUUUAAAUCAUUUAAAAAUUUUCAAAAUAUGAUUACCCUCAAUCAAACAUUCAUUGAAAAAAUUUAGUUUCAAACUUUUUGCAAUACAUAAGCAAGAAAUAAAUAUCAUUUAAUUUCUAUAAGAAAAUGUGCCAAUUAAACAUUAACGAAAUUCAAUAAGAUGCAGUAUUCAAGCAAAGUCAUGCAUCAAAACAGUGUGACAACAAGAAUUAAUGCAUGGUCACAUUAUCAACAUUUGCAUAUUAAUGAUAUAAGUAAUAAAGCUUAUACAAAAAAAACUUUGUUGAAGAUUAGAUCAAAGAUCCAAGACAAUUGCCUUUCUUGUAAAACCACUAGCGUUUCUUCUGAUCAGUGCUCAAAUAUGGGGAAGGAACCACUCUAGUUGUAGUGGUUGUUGUUGCAACAUAGAAGUUGGGAUGAUUUGCAGUGGUGAUUCACAUCGUUUAAAAAUGGUGUAUAAAAGUCUAAUGCAUUUUGGCACAACUUUGGCAUAUAUCCUAAAGCCCCUUUUCUCUUGUGAUGGAGAGGGCUUUUAUAGAUGAGGGGGUGCUUUUAUAUGGGUGACCUGGGCAGAAGCGCCCAUCCAAAUUCUGCACGAACUUAGAAUCGAGUAAACAAAGUUGAGUCCGUGACACAUUACGAGUGUUAGAAUUGUGUGACCCAAAUUCUAAGAGAUUGCUUGCAAGUCAAGUUCAACAAAAAUAUAUUUUCUUUCUAGAAGAUUUAGUAUUUAUUAGUAUAAUAUAUUUAUCAUUUAUUAGUAUAGUUUAUUUGACUUACUAAUUUAGCCUAUAAAUAGGCUCUUUUACAAUCUUAGAAAUUAGAGACACCCAUUAGAUUAGAACUCAUAACACAUUCAGAGAAUUUUGUGUUUACGUUUUGAGGGUUCUUUGUUUUUCGGGUUUUCGGGGUUUAGUUUUUAUCUCUAUCUUUUGUACUCUUCAUUCUUUUGCCAUUAUAGUAAAAUUAUCUUUGCCCGUCGUUUUUUAUCCUCUUUUGAGGGGUUUUUCCACGUUAAAUUUGUGUGUUCAUCUUCUCAAUUUCUUCUACUAUUUUUACUUGUUCGUUGCUUAAUCGGGACGAUCCUAACAAGUGGUAUCAGAGCUAGUUUAACUUUCAUAGAUCAGCCCGUUCAGAGAUGUCAGCAACAAGGUUUGAAAUUGAGAAGUUCAAUGGUGAGACAAAUUUCAAUCUGUGGCAAGUUCGGAUGAUGGCAAUUCUAGUUCAAAAUGGCUUGAAAAAGGUUGUUACAGGGAAAAAGCCUGAGAAUCUUAAUCAAACAGAAUGGGAAGAGCUUGAUGAAAAGGCCUUAUCUGCAAUCCAGUUGUGCCUCGCGAAUACAGUAUUGCAGGAGGUAUUGAUGGAGAAGACCUCAUUCGCCUUGUGGAAAAGGUUAGAAACUCUUUAUGCGACUAAGUCUCUGGCUAACCGUUUAGUGUUGAAACAACGUCUAUUUACGUUUCGCAUGAACGAAAGUGAGCUUCUUAAAGAUCACAUCAGUCAAUUCAUUACUCUUUUAAAUGAUUUAAAGAACGUUGAGGUUCAUAUUGACGAUGAAGAUCAAGCUAUGCUAUUAUUGUGUUUUUUACCCUCUUCAUACAAGUCUUUCAGGGAGACCCUGAUUUAUGGCAGAGACAAACUCUCGUUCGAAGAUGUGAAGGGUUAUUUGUUGAGUAGAGACAAACUCGACAAUGAGUUUGGUUUGAAUAGCAAAGCAGAUAGGCAAGCUUCCGUUUUGGUAGCAUUAAAGAAACAAGACAAAAGGUGUCGCUAUUGUAAAAAGUUAGGUCACUUCAAAGCAGAUUGUUAUAAACUGCGAAAUAAAAGAGCUGCUGAGAGUAACGAGGAAGAUGUAGCUGGUGCUAAUUUGGUCGAUGAAGGCGAUGAUGAUUUCUUGUUAGUGUCAACGAGCGAUAAUUCCAAGCUUACGUCUGAGUGGAUCCUAGAUUCAGGAUGUUCUUUCCACAUAUGUCCCAAUAGAGAAUGGUUCUCCACAUACAGUUCAGUUGAAGGUGGAGUUGUGCACAUGGGAAACGAUUCAUCUAGUAAAAUAAUCGGUAUUGGUACUAUUAAAAUUAGGAUACACGAUGGGACGAUUAGGACACUCUCAGAUGUCAGGUAUGUACUUGAUUUACGAAAGAAUCUCAUCUCCUUGAGUAUUUUAGACUUGAAAGGAUGCAGAAUCAACAUCGAGUCGAGCGACAUUAAAGUAUCUCGUGGAGCUUUCGUUUUGUUAAAAGGUAAAAGAGCCGGCAGUCUUUAUAUUCUGGAAGGUUCUACAGUGACUAGUGAAAUCGGACGUCCCUCGUCCGUUACGGAGUCAAAGUCAACUCAUUUGAAGCGGAGGCAACUUGGUCAUAAGAGGGAAAAAUGUAUGACCGUUUCGUUGAAGAGAGGUUCUCUUUUGGAUGCAAGUUUUGAAAAGUUAGGGCACUGUAUUCGUGAAAAUCAGACCCGGGUUAGUUUUGAUUUGGCAGUGCACAAGUCGAAGGCUAGAAGUCUUCCAGCUUCUAAGCAUAGAUUCGACUCAGUUAAUUCCCUGCAUAGUUCAAGAUAGGCCCGUGGCGGGUUUUGGCAAAGAUGGCAUUGAAAAAAUUUGUGUCAAGGUGGAGAUUGUUAGAAUUGUGUGACCCAAAUUCUAAGAGAUUGCUUGCAAGUCAAGUUAAACAAAUAUAUAUUUUCUUUCUAGAAGAUUUAGUAUUUAUUAGUAUAAUAUAUUUAGCAUUUAUUAGUAUAGUUUAUUUGACUUACUAAUUUAGCCUAUAAAUAGGCUCUUUUACAAUCUUAGAAAUUAGAGACACCCAUUAGAUUAGAACUCAUAACACAUUCAGAGAAUUUUGUGUUUACGUUUUGAGGGUUCUUUGUUUUUCGGGUUUUCGGGGUUUAGUUUUUAUCUCCAUCUUUUGUACUCUUCAUUCUUUUGUCAUUAUAGUAAAAUUAUCUUUGCCCGUCGUUUUUUAUCCUCUUUUGAGGGGUUUUUCCACGUUAAAUUUGUGUGUUCAUCUUCUCAAUUUCUUCUACUAUUUUUACUUGUUCAUUACUUAAUCGGGACGAUCCUAACAACGAGCUUAAGUAUAUUCUUCGAUAGAAAUUUUUUUAGCUAACUGGAUAUAUAGUAAAAGCAGCAUUAAGUAUUCCUAAAAAGAUUUUUUAUCUUCGAUGAAUCAUCACCAAACACCAUGAUCACCUUUAAAGCGGAUAUUGAAAAUUCUCUCAUGUGUUCUAAACUUACACUCUACCUGUGCGAAUUGCAGAACUCCCCACAGUUAGUGAUUGUCUUUUUACCUUGUCCCUCUUUAGUCCCACAAAAUAAAUAAUUUAAUUUGUCUUUUUCCUUUUUUUUUUUUGUUUCUUUUUGCGAUAAUAAUGCAUCCACGUAACAUCAUCACUGCAUUGCAAAAAGUCCUUAGCUUUCAUACUUGCCAAUGCUUCUGUAUUUUUCCGAAAUUAAAUUGUAAUGAACCAAAAGAAAUCGUCUAUCACUACUUUUAGUUAAAAUUAAAUGAAAUACGAAAGGACACAAAAAGUAAUUGCCUACAUAAAUAUAUUACUUUUGUAGAGGUUAUAUUUAUGAUCUAUAUAGUAUAAUGUUGGGGUAAACUCGAGUUAAGAAACGAAUAAGAAUAAAUAGAGAAAAAUCGGAUACAAAUAUUUACAUGAAAAAACUCUUCUUAAGAGACAAUUCAUGGUUCAGACGACUAGUAAAAAUAGAAAAGAAUAAACGAAUUGAGUUGUGAAAUGAGUUCAUGGAUUUACCAAAUUUUUAGGUCUUUACAAAUUUAAUUUGUCUUUUUCCUUUUUUUGUUUCUUUUUGCAAUAAUAAUGCAUCCUUUCUUUUUUUUUUUCCAUAACGUGUGGUGGAGGUACUUCAGUCAUCAAUCAUAUUUUUGCUGGAGAAAUGUCUUCUUCGUUUCAUUAAUCAUUUAGAGCAUAAGCAAUUACAACUUCAUGAAAAAAAAUGGGUAUUCUUCCACCCACAUAACAUCAUCACUGUAUUGCAAAAAUUCCUUAGCUUUCACACUUGCCAAUGCUUCUGUUAGUUAAAUUUAAAUGAAAUACGAAAGGACACAAAAAAUAAUUGCCUACAUAAAUAUAUUACUUUUGUAGAGGUUAUAUUUAUGAUCUAUAUAGUAUAAUGUUGGGGUAAACUCGAGUUAAGCAACGAAUAAGAAUAAAUAGAGAAAAAUCACAUAUAAAUAUUUACUUAAAAAAUUCAUCUUAAGAGGAUAAAAAAUCACGGGUAAAAAAAACUUCACUAGAAUGGCAAAUAACUGAAGAGGAGUACAAGAUAGAGAAACAAAAAACAAAUCCAAACUCAAAAACACAAAGUUCUUCCGAAAUUCCCAAAAAACUCUCUCUUAAUUAUGUUGUUGAAUUGAUCUCUCUAGUGUUGCUAAAAGCCCUAUUUAUAGGCUGAAAUCCAUGUGAAAAUAUGACUAAAACAUCUCUAGAAUAAUCAAAGUUAAACUAGAAAAAGAUAACAAAGUUCAAUUAAGAGAUACAAUUCGGUUUAGUAGAUAACACAUCGUCACGUCGUGACAUGGCAUAUUGCCUUGUCGAGACGUCAUUCUUCGCAUCGUUAAGACAUUGUCUCUUUCUCGUCCCGACGUUAACCCUAUUUCAUCUAAAAUGUGAGGUAUAGAUGAGAGGGCCAAAUGAGAUUUCCAAACCACAAUAAUUUAAAAUGUUUGAUAUAUUAUAUAUUAUACACAUUAAAAGAUCUUAUUGGUCGAUUGUGGAGAUUAUUAUAUGCCAUUGCACGCUUUUCCUCUAUAAAUGAUGUUCUUCUUGAUUAUUCGUUCCAUACAUUGUUCUUAAAUCAAUGGCUGAGCAGUACAUGGCUGGAGUUGGAGGUGUUAUAGCCUCUCUUUUGGGGUUUGUUUUCUUGUACUGCAGUUCCCUAAUCAGAUUUAGGGGACUGAAGAAGCUAAACAGAGCAGCUUCAAUGGGGUUUCCAAAGAAAAACAGAGUAAACAAAACUGGAAAGAGUGAGGGUGUUGGCACUGCGGAUAUUAUCAUAGUCGGCGCCGGUGUUGCCGGUGCUGCUCUUGCCUAUUCUCUUGGAAAGGUCUCAUAAUUUCUUCUUUUUUCUUUAUUUUGUUCUACCAUUGUUUAAUCAUCUUAUUUUCCUCGUCUAGCAUAUAACAAUUACUAAUUUUUUAGUAAAAGUAUCAUGCUCCUAGUAAAGUUCCUGUACUAAGAUUAGAUUGCAUUUUAUUCCUUUUACUCAAAAAAUGAGUAAAUUAGUUCUUGUAGGAUAGAUUAAAUAGAAAAUUGGUAUUUUCUGUUAAAAAAUUUAUCCAUUUUUACUGUUAAAAAUUGACGUGGCUGAUGAUAUAACCAGUCAGUUACACAUAGUGUAUCAUGUGUACCUCAUGCUAACGUAUAGGGAUCGAUUUUAAAUAGUAGAAAUGAAUAGAAUUUUUAACUGAGAACCAGUUUGCUUUUUAAUAUAAUGAGACUAAUUUACUAUUUUUUAAGUAGAGGAACAAAAUGCAAUCUGAUUCUUAGUACAAUGGCCUCCAUGAUACUUUAACCAAAUUUUUUUGAAAAGAACAAUUACUAAUUAAGUUCGCAUUUUAUUAUUAUUGGUUGAAGUGAUAUAUGGGAAGAUAGUAUUUCGAUAACUUAAUUUAAGUUCACGUGAAUUUGUGUUGAUUUUUUUGUAAUAAAUUCAAAUUUUAAUUUGAUGGUAAAAUGAAAUAAUCAAUGUUGUUUUUGAAAUUAGAUUUAGAGUACUGGCUUGAGCUGGAUUUUAUAUAUUUUAUAUUUUUAAUAAUUUAUUUGAUUUAUAUAAAAUGAACAGAUUGAACCGAAAAUCAAUGAUUUUAUCAAUUUAACUACCGAUACGAUUUAAAAAUAAUAACUAAAAAUAUAUAUUUGACUCUUUUUAAUUGAUAACUAUGUAAUAUCAAGUAGUAGUUAAAAAAUAUAUAAAAUCUAUUUUGACAGUCCAAUUUGAUUUUAUUUAAUAUAAAUGCAUAUAAAUAUCUAAAUUACUGUCAUGUAUACUGCCAGUGAAAUUAAAAAAAAUUCAUAAGCAAGUUAAAAAAGAUUUUGUAUGUCCUUUAUUUAAAUAUAUGCUCAAAGUAGUUAUAGUGUAGAAACAAGCUUGUACAAAGGCGGGGAAAAAUCACGAUAAGAAAUAAUAUCUGAGUAAAAAACAUCCAUGGUAUACACACAUGAUGGAAUUAGAGAUUUACAUGUCACAAUUGCGCAUGAUAAAACUCAAACUUGAGUGCUUAAGAACCCAAAGUCUUUGCAUUAAGCAACAAUGCCAAGAUUUCAUUGGCUUUCAAAUUUGGAUUUCAAUAUGAUACCAUAUGUAACAAUUCUUAACAACUUACAUGUUACAGGAUGGACGUCGAGUACGAGUGAUAGAAAGGGACUUAAAUGCGCCUAAUAGAAUGGCUGGUGAAAGUCUAAUACCAGGGGGCUACUUAAAGUUAAUUGAAUUAGGCCUUGAGGGUAAACAAGAAAAAUCAUAGAUUUAAAUAGUAGAUGUAAUAUAAUGUUAUAAUGUUAUUUCUUUAUAAAAUUACUUAUUUUACUUUUAAGUGUUGGUUCUAUAGACUGUGUAGAUGAGAUUGAUGCGCAACGACUUUUGGGUUAUACUCUAUACAAGGAUGGAAAGGAGGCUCAAGUAUCUUUUCCUUUAGAAAAGUUCCAAUCUCAUGUUGCAGGAAGAACAUUUCAUAAUGGUCGUUUUGUUCAAAGGUUGCGGAAAAAAGUUGCAUCUCUUCACAAGUACUUUCUCUCUCCCUCCUCUCAAUCAUUCUUCAAUUUCAACAUAAGACACCAGAACAUUUUAUCUUAAAGGAUUAAGUGAUUUGUAGUUUGUUUUAAUUCAUUGCUUCUGUUUAGACCUGUCAAUUGAGCUAGUCAAGUCGAUUUUGGGUCAAGUCAACCUAGAUCGAGUCAUUCGAGUUUUACAAUUUUUUGCUUAAAUUUGGUUUUAGUGAGCUUAGAUUCAAGUCAUUUCAGGUUUGGGUUAAAUUCGGGUUUGGACCGUUUCAAGUUUGGAUUUGAGUCCUUUCGGGUUUAGGUCAAUAGGGUUUGAAGCUCAAGUUUUUAGGGUCAGCUCAUGAUAGGUUCAUGUCAUUUUAGGUUACAGUCACCUCGAUUUUUUAUCUUUUCAAGUUGCUUGUUUGGAUCAUUUUGGGUUUGAGUAGCCAAUUUAUGUUAGAGUAAAACGAGGUUCAGUUUAGAGGGAUUCAUGUUGUUGACCAUUUAUAGUCAAAUCAAGGCAAGUUUAGGUUUGAAUUGAUCAAGUUAUAUUUUAGGCUUAAGUUAACAUUGACAAGUUCACUUCUAUUUGUAUUUACUUGUUACAACAAUUUAUUAUAAAGAGUACAUUUGAAAUUAUACUUUUUCUUUAGAAGAUCCAAUUUGAUGUUUUGAUGUUAUGAUAAUGUAGCAUAAGUUUAGAACAAGGGACAGUAACAUCUCUGAUCGAAGAAAAUGGUAUUGUUAAAGGAGUGCAGUACAAAAAUGAGAGUGGUCAAGUGUUGACAGCUUAUGCUUCUCUCACAAUUGUAUGCGAUGGUUGUUUCUCAAAUUUGAGACGCUCUCUUUGCUAUCCUAAGGUGAAAAUGCUUGGGAAUUCUUGUUAAAUUUGUUCAAUUAUGGUUUAUGUCUCUUUAUUAUGCUAAAAUUUUAUAUUUAAUCAUUCUACUUUAUUUUUUAUUUAAUUUAAAUCCAUUUAUUUUUAUAAUGUUAUUGUAUGUCCAAAUUAAUAAUAUUAUUAGUUGCUUUUUAUUAUAAAUGGUACCUACUAAUAACAUUUAGAGAUCAAUUUUUUUUUCCAAAUUAAAGCAAAGAGAUUAAAUUCUAAUUUUAGGAUAAUAGAGGGGCUAAAUCCUAAAUUCUAUGCUUUGAGAAAAUAUAUAAAGGUCUUUAUUAUUUUUGCAGGUUGAUAUACCCUCUUAUUUUGUUGGUUUUAUACUGACGAACUGUAACCUUCCAACUAAAAAUUAUGGAGCUAUUAUAUUAGCACACCCUUCGCCAAUCGUAUUCUCUCCCAUUAGCAGCACUGAAAUUCGUUGCAUGGUGAAUGUUCCUAGUGAAAAGGUACCUUCAGUUUCCAAUGGUGAAAUGGCAUGUUACUUGAAAACUCAGGUGGCUCCCAAGGUAUAUUUAGAUCUUUCUUUUCUUCUUUCAUUAGGGGAAUUUGGCUUAAUUUAUGGACGAACUGUAUGGCUUAUAAUACAUUUCAGGUUCUUCCUGAAUUGUACGAUUCCUUUAUAUCAGCAAUAGAGAAGAAGGGUAACAUAAGAAUAGCGCCGAAUAAAAUUAUGGCUGCUGCUCCACACCUGACUCCUGGUGCGCUUUUGAUUGGAGAUGCACUCAACAUGCGGCACGCUAUAACCGGAGGGGGAAUGACUGUUGCUCUGUCUGAUGUUGUAAUACUUAGGGAUCUUCUAAGACCCUUGCAUGAUCUAUCCGAUGCAUCCACCAUUUCUAAAUAUCUCGAAUCUUUUUACACCCUGAGGAAGGUAUUGUAGCUUCAUGUUUUAUAUGCAUUUUGAAAGUGAAUGGCAAUGAUGAAAACUGUUAAGAAAUGGCUUAAAAUUGGUAGUGGAUUGUUGUUGUUGGUAGUGGGUUGUUGGUGGUAGUGGAUUAGUGGAUGGUUGUUGGUGUCCAUUUUCAACCACAAAUCUUUGCCAAAGUUUUGGACAAUUAUGUCCUUGAACUCUCUUAUAAAUAGAGAGGUUCAUUAGCCAUAUUCAUCAUCCCAAACCAAGAGAGAGCAAAGCUUGUUCUUUGAAAGCUAGGAUUUUAGCUUUCGGGUUUUCUAUAGGGGUUGAGAGUUGUGAGGUUCUCGGGUUGUGUCUUGAGUGUAAAACACUUGUAAUCUUCAUCUUGUUAUAGUGAAAUUUCUUUUCGCCUCUGCCCGUGGACGUAGGCAUUAAAGCCGAACCACGUAAAUCCUUGUGUUCACUUUAUUUUUCGUUCCGGUCAAUUUACUUGUAGUCAUAUCGGAGUUCUCGAAUCGAUCCUUUCCGCAACAAAUUGGUAUCAGAGCGUAGUUGAAGGAGUGAUAAUAUUUUCUGAAUUGCCCUGUGACUGCAGCUUUGUCUGAUCUUUCACAUCAGGAAGAAAAUAUUAUCAUUCAUUCAAAGGUUCCAAAUUAUGGCUACAAGUGUUUCAUCGACUAAGUAUGAUGUCGAGAAAUUUACCGGGAAAAAUAGUUUCAGUUUAUGGCGCAUCAAGAUGCGGGCAGUGCUGGUUCAACAAGGAUUGCUAAAAGCAUUGUCUGGUAAAGAUAAAUUACCAAGCACGCUUUCGGAAGAGCAAAAGGAUGACAUGCUAGAAAGAGCACAUAGUGCUAUUCUGCUAUGUCUAGGAGAUGAAGUGCUACGAGAAGUAGCGGAUGAGAAAACCGCGUCCGGUUUGUGGCUCCGGUUAGAGAGCAAGUACAUGACGAAGUCAUUGACGAACCGGCUCUACCUCAAGCAAAGACUCUAUGCCCUGAAGAUGGAGGAAGGUACACCUGUUUCCCAGCACCUGGAUAAAUUCAAUUCCAUUAUCAUGGAUUUGAAUAAUAUCGAUAACAAAAUCGAUGAUGAGGACCAAGCAAUAAUUGUUUUGUGUUCUUUGCCUCCCUCGUAUGAGAAUUUUGUUGAUACAAUGAUGUACGGUCGUGAUGACCUGACUCUAGAGGAGGUGAAAAAUGCCUUAAGUUCCAGUGAGUUGAGGAAGAAAAUCACUGGUAAGGUGGUCGAAAACAAUGAAGGCGAAGGCUUGGUUGCUCGAGGAAGAUCCAAGGCAAAGGGUGGAAGUUCAAGUAAAAUCCAUCCUAGAUCGCAGUCCAAGAAGAGAAUACAGUGCUACUACUGUAAGAAGUACGGGCACAUGAAGGUAGAUUGUCCGAAAAGGAAGGAGAAAUCAGAAUCACAGGAGCAACAAAAUGAUCGUGCGAAUGUAGCUGAUGCAGAUUCUUCAAGUGAUGCCGAGAUCGUUCUUGCAGUAUCCGACUCUUACGCUGGUGGGAGAUGGAUUCUUGAUACGGGAGCUACAUUUCAUAUAAGUACUUCGAAAGAUGCAUUCUCAACAUACGAGAAGCAUUCUGGUUCAGUACUAAUGGGAAAUGACCACGCAUGUCAAGUCAUGGGGAUUGGCACAGUUCGUAUAAAGAUGUUUGACGGUAUUGUUAGAACUCUAACUGAUGUUCGGCACAUUCCAGAAAUGAAGAAAAAUUUGAUCUCUUUGAGUACGUUGGACAAGAAAGGCUUUCGGUACUCUGCUGAAGGUGGAGUUCUCAAGGUAUUCUCGGGUGCUUUGACUGUGAUACGUGGUAAUUUGGAGCGGGGCCUUUACUUCCUCGAUGGUUCCUCGGUUACAGGUGUUGCGGGAGUGUCAUCAUCAGAUGAUCUAGAUUCUGACACCACGAAGUUAUGGCAUAUGCGGCUCGGGCAUAUGAGCGAGAGAGGCUUAUCGGUGCUAAGCAAACGAGGAUUAUUGUCUGGGCAGUGUACAGGAAAGUUGAAUUUCUGUGAGCACUGCGUCUUCGGUAAGCAGACUCGGGUAAAGUUCAGCACUGGGAUUCACAAGACAAAAGGCACAGUGGAUUACUUCCAUUCUGACCUUUGGGGGCCUUCUCCGACAAUUUCUAAAGGUGGUUACAGAUAUCUGCUUACCUUUAUCGAUGAUUACUCGAGAAAGGUUUGGGUGUAUUUUCUGAAGAGCAAGUAUGAGGUUCUCAUCAACUUCAAGCAAUUUAAAGCUUUGAUCGAAAAUCAAACAGGAAAGAAGAUCAAGCGAUUCCGGACGGAUAAUGGCUUGGAGUUUUGCUCAGGUGAAUUCAAUGAGUUCUGCAAAAAUGAAGGAAUAGUGAGACACCGCACUGUUCGUCGAACACCACAACAAAAUGGAGUUGCAGAACGCAUGAAUAGAACUCUCUUGGAGCGAGCUCGUUGCAUGCGAUCAAAUGCUGGGCUCGGUGAAGAAUUUUGGGCUGAAGCUGUUAAUACUGCUUGUUAUUUGGUUAACAGAUCUCCGUCAACAGCUAUUGAGCUGAAGACUCCUGAGGAAGUAUGGUCUGGUUCUCCUGCUGAUUACUCUGGUUUAAGAGUGUUUGGCUGCCCUGCGUAUGCUCAUGUAAAUGAGGGAAAACUCAAACCGAGGGCGAAGAAAUGCAUAUUUCUUGGAUACGGCCAAGGGGUGAAAGGAUACAGGUUGUGGUGUCCUGAUCCGGUUUCGUCCAAGUUCAUCAUCAGCAGAGAUGUGACUUUUGAUGAGUCAUCCAUGCUUCGAUCCACCACAAAUUCCCGGGAAAAGGAGGAGUCAGAUAGAAUGGGAGAUCACGGUGUUGAGAAGCAGGUGGAGUGUCAGGUGGACGCUCCAAUUCCUACGGAAGGUACUUCAGUCCAGGAUGAUCAAGUUGAGGUGCAAGAUUCCGAUGAAGAUGAGUCACCUCAAGAAAAACCAUAUAGCAUUGCCACUGGAAGAACGAAGAGACAAAUCAAACCAAAUCCGCGUUACGCUAAUCUGGUGUCUUUCGCGCUCAGUGUGGCGGAGUCCAUUGGUAUAGAACCUUCCAGUUAUAAUGAGGCUGUCACGUGUGAUGAGUCGGCACAGUGGGCAAUUGCUAUGAGUGAGGAGAUAGAAUCUCUUCACAAGAACCAUACUUGGGAGUUGGUUAAGCCGCCAAGUAACCAGAAGAUAGUUGGUUGCAAAUGGGUCUUCAAGAAAAAGGAAGGCAUCCUAGGGGUUGAAGCAACUAGAUUCAAGGCACGAUUGGUUGCUAAAGGCUUCACUCAGAAAGAGGGGAUUGACUACAAUGAAGUUUUCUCCCCAGUCGUAAAGCAUUCUUCCAUUCGUGUAUUACUUGCCAUGGUGGCCAAGUCUGAUCUAGAACUUGAGCAGCUUGACGUAAAAACGGCGUUCUUGCAUGGUGAGCUCGAGGAAAUAAUCUACAUGCGUCAACCAGAGGGUUUUACAGUUCCUGGUAAAGAAGACCAUGUCUGUCUAUUAAAGAAGUCUUUAUAUGGAUUGAAACAAUCCCCAAGGCAGUGGUACAAGCGGUUUGAUAGCUUCAUGAUUCAGCAUGGUUACACAAGAUGUGACUAUGAUGCUUGUGUCUAUCAUCGGAAGCUCUCAGAUGGUUCGCACAUUUAUUUGUUGCUGUAUGUUGAUGACAUGUUAAUUGCUUCCAAAAACAUGUCGGAAAUCAACAAGUUAAAGUCGCAGUUGAGUGGUGAGUUCGAGAUGAAGGAUCUGGGUGCUGCCAAGAAAAUUUUGGGCAUGGAUAUUCACAGAGAUCGCAAGGCGGGCAAGCUUCGUGUGUCGCAGAAGAACUACAUUGAAAAGGUUCUUCAACGCUUCGGCAUGGAUAAAGCGAAAACUGUGAGUACUCCGUUGGCACCACAUUUCAAACUCUCUGCAGAGUUGUCACCACAAUCUGAUGAAGAAAAGCAGCAAAUGUCUCACAUUCCAUACUCGAGUGCAGUUGGAAGCGUGAUGUAUGCAAUGGUUUGCACUCGUCCAGACAUUUCACAUGCAGUUAGUGUGGUCAGCAGAUACAUGAGUUGUCCUGGCAAGGAACACUGGCAGGCCGUGAAAUGGAUUCUCAGGUACUUGAGAGGUUCUGCAGAUUUAUGCUUGGUAUAUGAUCAGAGUGACUGCACUAGCAGUGUCACGGGCUAUGUGGACUCUGAUUAUGCUGGAGAUCUGGACAAAAGAAGAUCUCUGACGGGUUAUGUUUUCACUUAUUCUGGAGGAGCCAUUAGUUGGAAAGCUGUGUUACAGUCUACCGUAGCCUUAUCUACGACUGAGGCGGAAUAUAUGGCGUUAGCAGAAGCAGUGAAAGAAGCAUUGUGGAUGAAAGGUCUAGUAAGCAGUUUGGGUUUACAACAGGAUUUCACUGUUGUAUUUUGCGAUAGCCAGAGUGCCAUACAUCUGACUAAAAAUCAGAUGUUUCAUGAACGGACCAAACACAUUGAUGUCAGAUAUCAUUUUGUUCGGGAACAUGUUACGCAAGGUGACAUUGUUAUCAGCAAGGUUGCUACCGAGAAGAAUCCUGCAGAUAUGUUAACUAAGGUGAUCCCUGCAUAUAAGUUCAAGCAUUGCUUGGACUUGAUAGGUAUUCGGGAUUGAUUAGCGCCAGAGAGGCGUUUGGAAGAGGUGAUCCAGUUCGAGGAAUUCACUAUGAUGUUCAGCUUGGUAAAUUUCAAGCCAAGGUGGAGAUUUGUUAAGAAAUGGCUUAAAAUUGGUAGUGGAUUGUUGUUGUUGGUAGUGGGUUGUUGGUGGUAGUGGAUUAGUGGAUGGUUGUUGGUGUCCAUUUUCAACCACAAAUCUUUGCCAAAGUUUUGGACAAUUAUGUCCUUGAACUCUCUUAUAAAUAGAGAGGUUCAUUAGCCAUAUUCAUCAUCCCAAACCAAGAGAGAGCAAAGCUUGUUCUUUGAAAGCUAGGAUUUUAGCUUUCGGGUUUUCUAUAGGGGUUGAGAGUUGUGAGGUUCUCGGGUUGUGUCUUGAGUGUAAAACACUUGUAAUCUUCAUCUUGUUAUAGUGAAAUUUCUUUUCGCCUCUGCCCGUGGACGUAGGCAUUAAAGCCGAACCACGUAAAUCCUUGUGUUCACUUUAUUUUUCGUUCCGGUCAAUUUACUUGUAGUCAUAUCGGAGUUCUCGAAUCGAUCCUUUCCGCAACAAAAACGGUAUAAUUUUGCCCUUUAACUACAUGCAGCCAAUGUCAUCUACAAUAAAUAUACUGGCUAAUGUCCUACAGAAGGUAUUCAGUGCCUCGUCCAAUCCUGCAAUGGAGAAUCUGCAGCACACCUUUUUGGGGUAUUUGAGACUUGGAGGGAUGUUUUCAUAUGGAGCAUCCGCUAUGCUCUGUGGUUUAUGCCCUUCUCCAUUAAGCUUAGCAUUUCAUUUCUUUUCCAUUGCAAUAUAUGGCGUUGGCCGAUUGUUACUUCCAUUUCCUU
rnacentral:lncRNA from 1 species